rnacentral:lncRNA from 1 species
GUCGAAGAACUCAAGAACUAUUUCCGUCCAGAGUUGUUGAACCGGAUAGAUGAAAUCGUCAUUUUCCGACAGCUAGAGAAGGCUCAGGUUAGUCAUUUUCUCCACUUUUAACCUUAAAUGUAGGGGUGUGCAUAAAAACUGAACCAAACAAACUGAGGUUCUUCAGAACAGAAACUGAACUAAACAGUAACAAUAGCUUUAUGCCAAAUCAAAACAGAGACAUUAUGAAGUAGGGGUGGUUGAUUUGUUAGUUUAAUGCAAAACUUUAAACUCUGAUUUUACAGAUGAUGGAGAUCUUAAACCUGAUGCUACAAGACUUGAAGUCAAGGCUAGUGGCACUUGGAGUCGGGUUAGAGGUGUCUGAACCAGUCAAGGAGCUCAUAUGCAAACAAGGCUAUGAUCCGGCUUACGGUGCACGGCCACUCCGUAGAACUGUCACAGAGAUUGUUGAAGAUCCACUCAGCGAAGCCUUUCUUGCUGGGAGCUUCAAGCCUGGUGACACUGCUUUUGUAGUUCUCGAUGAUACUGGAAACCCAUCGGUUCGGACCAAACCAGAUUCUUCCACUGUACGAGUUACAGACAAGACAUCGAUCGCAUAGUUUCACCAUUGGAGAAAUGUAUAUAAAGAUUCUUUGAUUAUACUCACUCCUCUUAUACUUGAAUCUCAAUUGCUUGUUGCAAACCUGUAUAUAUAAAAGAUACAUAGUGAUUAGUGCGUGAGGUAAAUUAUGAAAGUAUUUGUUACUCGUACUCCUCGUAUUAAAACUAUGCUUUCAUUUUCUGAACGGAGUCAUGCGAUUGUAUGGGUGAAAGAAGAGUUGCCAAUGACUUAACAUGAAAUUGAAGAUCUUGAAUUAUCUGACAUUAACCUCUUUUAGCAUUUCCUCGAUAAUAUAUGAUUAUAUUCUUAUAAGUCAACUAAUUUUUGGCUUGAAAAAUCUCAUUUACAAAUUCUCAAGACUCUUUUGUUAAGUUUCUUCUUUAAUCCUUUAUAAAGAAAAAAGUUGGAACCAUUCCAUUUCUACAUUGAUUUAAGCAACCACAGUCAUGUUCCUACAUUUCCCAACAGAUGAUUCCUAUUACAUGCAACACAAAACCAAAGAUUUACAUAGUGGUUGAUCCCUGAUGGUAUAACCGAGACCUUCGAUGAAGAGGAAUCGCUGAACGUGCUCUUUAGAGACACCACUCACACUGUUAGAUAAGGGCUUUCAGGUUUAGAUGUAGCAUGGACAAGAAAAACCAAAGCUCUCUAUAUUAGUUCACCAAUAAUAUCCUUUAAGCCACUUCAACUUCUCCUUCUGUAAAUAAUGCAUCAUAGAUUUGGUUAGCUUUCUGUAAAAUUUGAUCCCCACAAUGUCAAAAGCAGAGAAAAGGGAGACUAUAAUGUCUAACCAGAAAGACGAGAAGCCAUAUUUGCCUGUUCAUCCGCAUCAGAGUUUAAAUUCUACAAAGAAAAAUGCCCACAUGGCAGAAACUCGCAUUAGAAAAAAAAAAAAAAAAAGCCAUGUAGGAACUCUUGCUCUCAAGCACAAGAGGGGAAUUAUGCGGUAUCAUUCAUUUACAUAGAGAGAGAGAUGUACGUAGAAACAUACCCUAAGUACUUGACUGAUCUCAAAAGAGAGACAUUGGUCGCUAAGUUGUUUUGCUUCCUUGUGGAGCUUCGAGAGUACCUCGUGGUUAACCUUCCAUUGACCUUUCAUCUAUUGUUUCAGAUAGAAUUGAGAAGGUGAGAAGGGAGAAGCAUAUGAUUCAUUAAAUCACCUUAUUGCACACAGAUAGACGAACCUGCAUACAGACUAGCUUGGAGUCAGUUUUCACUUUAAUUUUCGUGUAACCUUUCUCGAUAGCAUGCUUCAAUCCUAGGAUUAAUCCAUGAUAUUCUGCUGCAUUGUUUGUGGCAAUUCCUAAACCUUGACGCAUUUUACAAAUCUGUUUUUGAGAAAAUUGAUAUUAAGAUACAGAACUGCAGUCUCUUAUUAACAACCCGUGGUUCAAAAAGAUUCAUACCAAGCUUCCGUCCUCAGUUUUCAGUACAGCUGCAGCGCCAGAGAGACCGGGAUUUCCUUUUGAUGCACCGUCAAACUCAAUAAUGCAAGUUUCCUACCACAAGAGGAGAAGGAGAAACAGAUCAACUUAAGCAAAACAUUCUGCAUCCAGUUCAUUGGAAUUAUGAAAUAUGGUAUAUACAAACAUAUCACAACACUCACAUAUGAGGUAUCAGCAGAUGGCUUCUGCUUAGCAAGCUUUUCCAAAGGAUUAACAACUGACAUGGAAGCUGAAGGAAGUUGAUCCUGGGAGAAAUGAAUACAUAAGGAAUGAGCUUAAUCCUUUUUCUAAUCUUCAUUAAACUUGAGCUAGUUCUUCAAACUACAAUCUAAGUGUCCAAAAAUCAUUGUACUUUUUUUUUGUUGUCUUUAGUUCUAUCUAAAGACUUCAUCAAGGCAAUUGCAGAUCACAAUAUACUCUCACCUGGAAAAUACAAGGUGUAAGAGGUCCAAACAUAUCUUCUUUUAAGUCAAAAGCUCUAAAAACAUAGAGUGGUUUCUUCAGCCCAACACUAGAAAGAUACUCCUCCGUCGUGUCUUUAAGCAACGAGUAUCCCUUACCCUUAUAAACGCUAACUGGAAGAUCAUAUACCUGCCAUCGAAACAAAAAAAAAGCAGCAGCUUCUGUUAUUAUCUUAUCCCAUCUAAAAAAGGUAUUUAUAUACAAAAGAUUGUAAGGUAAGAUAAAUUCACCGAAGAUCCAACUUGAGCUUGACAAUCAAUCAAAUCCUUAUAAAUUCCAAUAAUGUCACCCUUCCGAACAACGAAAAAGGCGUCUUUCUCUUUAUCCGAAUCCGAAACAGAAACAGCGGUUGAAAUCUUUGAUUUGGCAGUCUUUGAUCUUGUAGAAUAGCAAUGAACACUAGACAGUCCAAGUGCAGUCACACAUGAAGGCUUUAAACUGUAUUUUGAAGGCAUAUAGAAGCAUCGAUUCCAUGGAAUAUGGGAACUGACAUAGCUGGACUUCUUAAGCAGCCCCAAGGAAAUGUAUGAACGCGCACGGUUCAUUACAAGGUAGUUUAUACAGCACUGAGAUUUAAGGAAGAAAAAGGACACAACUUUAGAUAACUACAGAGAGACAAGAACAACUGUAGGAUUCUAUAUUGUCACUGAAGAACACUAAAAACAAGAAUCACAAGUUUAAGAGUUCGUUAAAUUGCCUACUCAAAUCACACUUUGGCACAAGACCCACUGUGAAAUACUAAUUGGGACACUCCAAUGGAGCACAAAGAUAAUAUACCAGAGGUGUUUUUUUUAGGAGGGAGCAGCUCGCCGGGGGCUUCUGUUUCUAGUCGGCGUUGUGAUUGGAGUUGUUUCCGGUGCCGGAAUUGGAAACUAGAGGGCCAAUUUUGGUCUUUUUAGAAUUUGAAGGAGAUUUGAAACGACGUCGUUACCAAACCCUAAUUCAUCUAACGAUGUCGUUUAAGUGAAACAUCUAUUACUAAUAAAAAGAACUCAUUUAGGCCUCUCAAUUGUAGUGUGCCUGAAAUGGAACGGCAAUUUGGGGCGAUCGCUAAAGACUGUUAAUUCAUUUUGAUUGUUAGAAUUUUUGCUGUAAAAAUUUUGACUAUAUAAAUUUUAUAACCGAUUGGUAAAAUUUAUGACUAUAAAAAUUACGAUUUUAAAUAACUACCAAAUAUUUGGGAAAAUAGAUUUUAAAAGAACCAGGAAAAAAAUUUAAUUGUAAAUCAACUGAAAUUUUUCAAAAAUUAAUUUAUUUGUGAAUGUUAUAAGGGUUUACAUACAUAUGAGAAAAAGAAAAAAAAAGAAGUAUAAGCUUUUAAUUUAUUUAUUUCUAAAGUCUCGUGACUUUCAAAAAAUUGAAAGGAAAAAGUAAAAAGUAAAAAAAGACUUUGAAAGCUUUAAAAUUUAUUAAAGCCAAAAAAGCUCGAUUGAGAAAAAAAACUUUUAAAAUUUUUAAAAUUUUUUUAAAGUCUUAAAAGCCUCAUCCGAUCACCUCCUUGGUCUUUUUCGGUAUAGUGUCGAACUACAAUUAUGUAGACUAAAGUUUUGAGUUCUAUAUGAUACGAUGCGAUAAUUCUAUAGUUUUAAAACACAAAAUAACAAUUAUUUAUUCAAUAAAAACUAAAGAUGAGCUUUAACAAACUUUCGAUUUCAAAAAAAAAAUAUAAUAGUAUAUUAAAUUAUAUAUAUAUAUAUAUAUGUAAAUUUUUAUGAUUAUUAAUUUAUGAUAUUAACAAGACAAUAUAUUUACAUAAAGAUUCUAAAUUUUUUAUUAUUUAAUCGAAUUUUUUUCAAUUUUUACACAUACCCAUCUUAGGACAUGAAAAUUUUAUUAUUAGUGUUUAUUAAUUAGGAAAAAUGUCAUUAAAAUCCUCAACUUAUUCAAAACGUUAAUUUAAAUCCUCAACUCACGACGAAAUGAAAUAAAUAUCAAACUUAUAUUGACUUUCCAAAUAAAUAUUAAACUUAUGUUGACUUUCCAAAUAAACAUCAAACUUUCAUUGACUUGGUCAUAUUAGGCAUGACGUUAGGUGAGUUAACAGACCAUGUUAACGAGAUUAAUUUUCUGUUAACAGACCCGCUAAUUAAAAAUGACAGUAUACCUUCUAAACAUAAAACGACGUUGUUUUGUCGUAACUGCUCAAUAAAAUCCCGAGUUUCAAAUCAUAUGAAGAUUUAGGGUUAGGAUUUUGCUCGAUUAGGGGAUCUAAGAUUGACUUUAAGGAUUUAAUUCAAUCGUUACGACAAAACGACGUCGUUUUGUUGUUAUAUGAAACGAUGUCGUUAUCAAUUAACAUGUAUGUUAACAGAAAAUUAACUCCGUUGACGAGAUCUAUAUAACGUCGUACCUAAUAUGGCUAGGUCAACAGAAGUUUGAUAUUAAUUUGGAAAGUCAACAUAAGUUUGAUAUUUAUUUAGAAAGUCAACAUAAGUUUGAUAUUUAUUUCGUUUCGUCAUGAGUUGAGGAUUGAAAUCAACGUUUUGAAUAAGUUAGGGAUUUUAACGACAUUUUUCCCUUUAUUAAUUUAUCGAGUAUUAUUUUACAGAUGUUCUACUGUGAGAUUCAUAUAGAGUCAAACAUAUCUUCAAAUUGAAAUGCUAACAGAUUUUAUUUAUCGUUUGUCAUGAAGCUAACGGAUUAUGUACCAUAAUAAAAAGAUUUGAAUUAAUAGCUCAUAUAUGUGUAAAAGUCAAACUUGCAAAUGUUUUUUUUUUUGGUAGUUUAGAUAACUUCUCAAAUUAUAGAUUUCUUUGAUGUAAAAUAUAUAUAAAAGAACACAAAAUGUGAAUUUAUCGCACAAAAUUCUCAGUUUAGGUAAUAAACUCUUAUUUCUGAACUUUUAGUUGAUAGCAUUAUAAUGUCAAAGCGUUUGAAAUUCUCCUUUAUUUGUAGUAAAAAAUGUGAUAGCUUUGAAAAAUGAUAGAAUUCGUAAAAUAUAGUAUUAUUGCUAUCAUUUGGGUCAGAUUGCAUGCCACAAAAAAAUUCAUUUUAGGUCGUACAAUCUCAUUUUUAAGGAUGAAUGUCUCAGAGAUCCUCCUCGAAAGGCACUCCAGUGGCGUCCAACCAUAAGUCUUUAUUUAUUAACUCUACCACCGUAAACUUGACAACUCCUUCGAAUCUGUGAUUAUCUUGAACCUUUUCCAUUGGACUCUUUGGCUUAUAUUAUCUUUGCGCCAUUGUUUUGGUACUCGCCAUAGAAUAAUCUGGACAAACGUCCAUUGGUAAUGUUAUUCCAGGGAAUCCACCCCAUUAGAUCAAUCAAGCCACCCAUAAAACAUUCCAUAAACACAACCAUUGAUAAUUCACCCCAAGUUUUGCUGUAUAUGUUUUGACCGUUUCUUUUAUCGGUUCUAGAUCAUAACUGGCAGUUAUGUAAUUAUGUUGCACUUUUGAAAGGAAAAACCCAAAUUUUCACUCUACAUCCCGCGUUAUUGGCAGUCAAUACGUUGUUAUAUCCUUUAAGCGGAUUACAUGCCACAAUUUCACAAAACUGAAACACGGCCGUUCCUCGUCCACAAAUAAAGUCAAUCGUUCCCGUGAUGUAACAGUCACGAUAGAACUAUUUACCUAAGUGAGCAUCAUAGCCGUGCUAACAUAUAUGGGGAUCAGAGGCGAACAUAUAAAAAAGAUUCAAAGUAAAAAUAUAUCAUCGUUUUGUGAAAAAGAACUACACCAAUUAACAAAAUAAUUAUUUUAUCAAAAUUUUAAAGCUUUAUUAAUCCAAUCUAAAAAAAAACAUGAAUCAACCAUCACUAUAGUAGAUUAAUAGCCAAUUAUUUAAUUUUUGUUUAAAAUUUGAGUAAAAUAAUACAAACUACUAUUUUUAGAUGAAAAAACGGAAAUCAUAACGAAGAAUCUUAUAAUUUGAUUAUGUGGUCGAUUUAUAAAUAGAGAACAACAAAAAGAAUUACAUCGAAAAAGUUUAGAUUGGUGAUUUAGAACAAGGUGAUAAUUAUUUUUUUUUCUUCCCCAACCUCUCUUUUAAAGGAGUCAUCUUGAAUUAUCAGCUUAAUGUGGUAACUUAUCAGCAAAUUAAUUACCAUUUUAAUGUGGUAACUUAUCAGAAGCAGCCAAAGACUCAAAAUUAUGGUUUAUGUUUGUUUCUAUUUGUUUAGAAUCUCAUUUUUGAAUCUGUGAAUUUUGUUUGUCAAUUUUUAAAAACAUUUUACUUAUAUUUUGCUCAUUUAUUUCUUACUUUUGAUCAAAUUUUUUUAUCUUGAUUAUUUAAGUUAUUUCAAUAAAUAACAUAUUGAUAGAUGUGUAGUCACUGUUAAAAUUUUGCAUCGAAAUUUAACUAGAUUAUAAUCUAAAAGAAUUCAUGAAUUAUAUUGUUGUAUGCAUGGACUUCUUGUUGGAAAGGGUCUAGGGACAAUUAUAUUACGUACCCACGGUUGCCGAAUCGAAGGUUUUGAAACCAUCCUUUGCAUUCAAACUCCCGGUUUAAAUUGUUACGUCUUGACCAUCUCUUAUGACGGUUAAAUUUUUUUUUGUUAGACCGAUGUUGAUGAUCUCGUACUAUACUCCCUUUUAACCAGGACCGUGCCCAGAGUUUUGGUGGCGUAAGGCAAAAAAAAAAAGGAGAUGGUUUAUACAUUUUUCAUAAUAAAAUGUGUUAUAACUUAUAACUAAAACUAAAAAUAUUUUUUGUACUAAACUAGAUAUAUUUAACACUAUGUUAUUAAUAUAUGAAACUAACAUUUUGAACAAUUAACUAUAAAUAUAUAAUUUUAUACAAUUUUUGUAUUCUAUUUUCUUAGUUAACACUUUUAUUUAUGAAAAUACUAAAUUUCGAAAACAAGAUAUGUAAAUUAUUAAAGAUAGAUAAUAAUAGUUUUGAUAUAUUAAACAAAAUUUCAAACUUAAGAAAAAUAACACUAAAAAUAAAAAUAUUUUAGUAAUAUAUUAUAUAAUUAUUUAAAAUUUAAGGCCAAAAUAUGCUUAAUUUAGAGGAGACCUAAAACAAAUGCCUUUUUUUUUUACUGAUAGUCACGCCCUGCUUUUAACAUAUACUAGAUCCGGACCCGCACGUACGUGCGGGGUUUUUGGUAACAUAUGUUUUUGAGUAUAAAACUUAUGUCAAUUAGGUUUUGAAUGUGUAUCAAUUUGAAUUUUGUAUGACUAUUUAAAAUAGAUUUAUGUAACAAAUUACAGGAUUGAAUAUAUUAGUAUUGGGAACAAAUCAAAUCGCUCGAGAAAUAUGUAUUUCGGUAUAUUUUUGUAUUAAAAUAUAGAUGGGUAAUACAACACAUUACUGUGUUUAUUUUAUUGUUUUUGUAACAUAAUUAGUGUGUUUAGUACUUGGUCUAGUAAGGUAAAUUUAUUAAAUCUAUACUAUAAUUGACAAAUGUUUAAAAUGAAUUCAUUAUUUGUCACUAACAUGGUCAAUAUUGAGUUUUAUUCCUUGGGCCACAGAACCAAUAAUAUUUGUAAUGGGCCGUAAUCAAUCCAAAACUUUGUCGUAAACAGUAUCUCAAUUAUGUUUUUUAUUAUCUGGACAGAUAAUGUUUUUGUUCUUGAGUCUUUGUCUGAAACGGAAAAAAAAUUCCAAUCAACGAAAAUCAUCUUUGUCGGUCAAUUUACGAAUCUGAAUCGAAAUCCAUACUAAAUCGACUUCCUUCGUCUUCGAUUAUACAUCGUGAUUCGCAAAUUAUUAGAUCUAAAAAGAGGUAAGCUUUUCUUUUUUUUGAUUUUUGUUUCUACGUUUUUAGAAUCGGUCGAUUGAGUUUCUACCAUUGAUUUUUUUGUGUUUCAUAAUAGAUAUUAUUCAAAGAUUGUUAAUAACCCAUAGAAAUUUGAUUAAAUAUUACCCUUUUCAUAUUUAAUUGCUUGCAACUGAAUCAUAUUUUGUUUCGUUUAGUUUAAACAUGUUAGUUAGUGAAUCAAUCUAUUUCAUCAAAUUUCUAGUGUUAAGAGACUAAAUCUAAUCAAUUUCAGUAUAUCUUGAAACCUGUGAAUCUAUAUACCUAUUUUUGUUUUUAUAAUUGUUUCAGAUGAUUACAAAUAUUUUGAUGGAUUCUCAAAAGAAGAAGAACCACGAAGAUAAGUUUUUUUUUAUUAAGAUUAUUAUAUAACGUGAGCACUUUAUUUCAAUAAGCUCCUGCUUCAUUAUUCUUUAGAUCAAUCUUAUAUUCAUGAUACAAAGCUCAAUAUGUCUGCAGGCCAAGUAUCAUUUUGCACCUCUAAUUCUUAUGGAGCAGAACAGUAACAGUUCAAUUUGAAGCAUUCUUGAAAGCUAAUUUGGUACAAUCCUUUUAAAAAUGGCAAUGUUUCUUAGUCUUUACAAUGAUUUAUAUGGUUGUACUAAUGUAAAAUCGAUAACUGUUAAAAAUCUGCAGACCAAGAAUCUUUUGCGACUUGGAAUCUGAAGGAGAAAAGAGAUUUGGUGUUGUAUUUGGAGGUUUUCAGAGAUCUAAAUUUAAAAGGUUAGUAAGAUAUUAAACAUAACAUUUUUGAUUAGGUGAUAACAAUAUAGACCUACUCUAUUGAUUUUCAAAUUAGAUUAAAUACUUAUAAAUUAAAUAUAUCAAAUUUGUACAUAGUAAUUUGGUUGCUUGUUAUGUUGUUGGUGGUUUAUUCUGUAUUUGUUUGUUAAUAGAAGUAGUAAGUUCAAACUCAAAUCUUUUGGUAGCUUUGUUGAUGACAUCGUGAGUUUGUCAUCUCACCUAAACUCACGACCUGACCAAUAGCAUCUGUAAAAAUAUGAAAUGGUGUUAGUUUGCUAUUUUUUUUGCUUUAAACAUUAUAUACAUAAAUAGGAGGAAUGGAAAAUACCAAUCAAAAUGUUUUCAUUCAAUUAACAUUCAGAAUGUCUGGAAAGUUAGCAAAAUCAAAGUAAAACUCCUCAGAAAUUGAAGGAAUACGACUUAUAACAGUCGUAUUCAUGAGGGACAUCUUGAAUGGAAGUCUGGUUGCCCGGUACUUUCCAAUAGAUUUUGCAACUGUAAAAUUUUCCACAGUUCUCCACUCUCCAGUUGUGAUGAGCCUUUGAAACUUGUUGACUUGUUGUUUCUUGACAGUCGCAUGAAUCAAGGUACCUUGUAUUUAGCAAAGAAAGAGUAUGAACACAUAAUAAUUACAGAAGAAAAUAUCUACUAUUAGUAAAAAGAUUCUUACACAUGUAUCAGCAAGAAUCAUCUCGACAGUUUCUCCGGAGUAUUGGAUGUAUUGAGUCCACGAAUGGACGAUUUUCACUUGAAUCUUCCAUUGAGUUUUGAAAGAUUUAAUUGCGUUAAAUUCGGUGAUGAGAUGAGCCAUUGUUUUAAAGGUAUAGAGGUGGUUUGGUAGCUUAUUGAGUAUUGAGAAUAUAGUUGAAGAUCUAUAUAUAUAAGAGAUAGAACGUCUAGGGUUAGUCCUAUUAGAUAGGAAUAAUAUCUUUGCAAAUCAAUCAUUUGAAUAGAUAUUUUAGGUAUAUUCUUGAUUGAAGAUGUUUUGAAUAUAUUUUUUUGAUUUAGUUUAGAUUUUUUGGUAACUAUAGAUGACUUAAAUUUGUUAUGACAUUGAUUUGAAUUCGAAAUUAAAGAGAUAUGAUUGUUUAGGUAUUAUCUUGACUUAUUUGUUAUUGUAAUUAUGUUUAGAUUAUCAAAUGGCAACCGUGAGGAUCAAUACAAAUCGUGACGCUCAAUCCAAAUCAACCGUGAGGAUCAGUUUGAGGAAAAUCAACCGUGAGGAUCACUUUUAGGAAUGGCCGGGUCAAGUGUUACGAUCCGCAUGUUUAUCCGAAAGCUAGCCCAUCAGGCUCUAAAAAUAACCGAUCCAAUAGCCCAUGAUCCAUGGAUCUUUCUCUACCAAAUUAUUAUUUUAGCCUUCCACGUGUUUUAAAUUUUAGUCUUAGAUUGAAAAAAUUCUAAUGGCAUUCAUUGUAAUUUUUUAUACUUUAUAAGGUUAUUUAAAUUAGAAUGAUUCCCAAUUAAUAGUAUAGAUGAUGUAUGUUUUUUUGCAAUUCUCCGGGGCAGUAGCUAUCGCUUCUUUCACCGUUUUGUAGUUGCACGUGCCGUCUUUGGCAACAAUAAUAUUGUCUUUACUUUUGAGUGAACAACAGAGAAAACUUAAUAAGCAAAGAGAAAUGAUACAUCAUCAUUAAGAAAAUGUUUAUAAAUUUAUAGAUAACCAAAAGAAUAUACAAAUGUUUCAAUUGUUAGAUUAAAUAAAACAAACAAAUUAGGUUUUUUUUUAAUUACCUCCGUAGAAUCAAGAUCCGUCAACCAAGACGGGAAGUAGAGCAUAUCGACGGUUGGAAGGGAAGAUGCUAUUAAAAGAAGAAUGAAAAUUGAAAGAUGAACCUCCAUUGUUGAAUGUUGCUUGUUCUUAGCCUCUAUGAGUUCAAAAAGAAAGUAGCUAAGAUCUUUUAAGAAAACAAAAAGAAGGUGAAAUUUUAGAGUCUUUUAUUAUUACUUAGGUAUAACUUUUACUUCAUGUAUAAGUUUGUAAUUUACUUCAUUUUCUAUUUAAGCUUAAUUCUUCUUUUUUCGUUAUCACUAUAUGUUUUGUGUUAUUCAUUUUUUUAUAUUUUUUAUAUCGUAAAAUAUACUAAUAGUAUAUAGUAAAAAGUAGCCAAAUAGCUGCCAAAAAGCAAGCAAACAAACUUUUUUUUUUUAGGUCGGCCAUUUCAUAUUUAUGAAUAUGAAAACCGAAAUUGGUAUUACAUGAGAUGAAACAGAAGUCCAAUUCCCCUACCCUGCGUUUACCGUGGGCAAGAUAACUGAUACACCAGAGAUGCGUCUUUCCCAGUCCUCUCCCUGGAUAGUUUCCUGUAUAGACGUAUAGUCCUUUGAAAAAUCGCUAGGCGCUAGUCGGGCGCUCGGCAUGGGCCUACGAUUAAUCGGAAAAUCGGAUUAAAAUCGGGGAUUAAUCGGGGAUUAGUUUUAGGGUUAUUUUAAUAUGCUUAAAAUAUAUUAAUCGAAUAUUGUUUUCAAAAUUACAGUAAAAACAAUUUUUUUUUAUUUUUAUUAAAAUUUGAAUACAAGUUAUGUAAAACAUCACAAACUCCCAAUUCAAAUGAUUGAAUAACAAAAAUAAAAUGUUUUUUUUAUACUUGCAAUCUAAAAAAUAAUCGGGGUAUGUAAGAUUAGGCGGAAAAUAAUCGGAUUAGGCGGGAAGUAAUCGGAUUAGGCGGAAAGUAAUCGGAUUAGGCGGAGAAUAAUCGGGUUACUGAUUUUUUAGGGGAUUAGUCAUUAAUCGAGGCGGAGAGGGUGGGCCUAACGAUUAAGCGGGGAUUAAUCGGGGUUAGGCGGGGAUUUUUAGAACAGGGCGUAUAGUUAAACAGCCAAAUUUACUAAUUCAAUCUGAUGGGUACAAUAUGGACUAAUAGACACAAACCCAAAACCUUUAUCGACCAGAUGUGAAACAAUCCCCAUUCAAGUGGGUAAACCUCGAGCCAUCUAUAUCGGUUGCAAAAAAAAACUCAAGAUUCAGCUUUAAAUUAAUUUUUAAUUAAUUUGGAAAAGGCAAAACCGUCAAUAAAACAGAACAGAAAUACCUAUACAGUUCAAUAAAAUUUGGAAAUUUGACAAAUUUCGUAGAAUUUAAGAUUUUGAGGUAACGAUUUUAGGAAAGUCGAAAUUAGGGCUUUUAUUUCAUUUUCUGCAAUCUUUCUUCUUCUCCGCAUUCUCAUGGCCAAUUAUCCACCAACGGUGGCGGCGCAAUCCUCAACGGCGGCGAUUCCACUGCUGCACCAGCGACAUCAAUCUGAACGACGACGUGGAGAAUUACCGGCGGUUGUCGAAACAGAGUCUACAGCUAUGGAAAUUUCGAUCGGUCAAUCUAAGCAGCCUCAAUUUUUGAAAUCCAUAGACGAAUUGGCUGCGUUUUCAGUUGCAGUGGAAGCAUUCAAACGCCAAUUCGAUGAUCUUCAGAAGCACAUCGAGUCAAUCGAAAACGCAAUUGAUUCCAAACUCAAGAGUAACGGCGCCGACCUCGCCGCUUCUUCCAAUUUCCAUCAGCCGUUGUUAUCGCCUCCGCGGAACAAUGCCUCCGUAGAGACCACCGUGAGUUUGAGCCAAUCGUCACAGGAGCCUGCGGAGACUGUACCGGAGACGUCGAAUAAAACGGAGGGGGAACGUUUGUGUGAGUUGAUGUGUAGCAAAGGUCUGCGUAAGUACAUAUACGCGAAUAUCUCUGAUCGAGCUAAGCUAAUGGAAGAGAUUCCUUCAGCUUUGAAGUUGGCUAAAGAGCCAGCGAAGUUUGUGUUGGAAUGUAUUGGGAAGUUUUACUUACAAGGGCGUAGAGCAUUUACUAAAGAGUCGCCUAUGGUCUCUGCGAGACAAGUUUCGCUUCUGAUUCUGGAGUCUUUUCUUCUAAUGCCUGAUCGUGGUAAAGGGAAGGUCAAGAUUGAGAGUUGUAUAAAGGAUGAGGCGGAGACGGCUGCUGUUGCGUGGAGGAAAAGACUGAUGAGCGAAGGAGGAUUAGCUGCGGCAGAGAAAAUGGAUGCAAGGGGUUUGCUUUUACUAGUUGCUUGUUUUGGGGUUCCUUCAAACUUUAGGAGUAUGGAUUUGUUGGAUUUGAUACGGAUGAGUGGUUCGAAUGAGAUUGCGGGUGCUUUGAAGCGGUCACCCUUUCUUGUCCCUAUGAUUUCAGGUACCAUGUUCUGUUUUCACUCAAUGAAUUUCAUUGCCUUUUUUGCAAAUUCAAUAAGUAUCGAGUUCUAUAUGUGUUUUCUGUAAGCUUUGGAGUAGAAUUGUAUGUAGUACCAUGCAACUAAUAGAACUCAUGGCAUCUUAGAGUGCAUUGACUGAUUUAGCAAAAUCCUAGCUAAAAUCUAUUCUGCAAAGAAUUUGGAGCCGUCAAGUGUCAACCAUAACUUUGAUACAAAAUUGUUGUUUGUUAGAACCAAACGACUUGCUAUUGCCUUGGAAAUAGUGUUUGCUGUGGUUUUCAAUAUUUCAAGUUAAUAUCAUACGACUUUGUUGUUCGAUACUAAUUCGGCCUUAACAAAUACCAACUUUAAAGGGUUAAUAACUGGUACUUACACAAUAUUCUAUUGGUCAUAGGUAUAGUUGAAUCAAGUAUCAAGCGUGGAAUGCAUAUUGAAGCUCUUGAGAUGGUUUAUACCUUUGGGAUGGAGGAUAAGUUUUCAGCUUCUUCAGUCCUAACUUCAUUCUUAAGAAUGAGCAAGGAGUCAUUUGAGAGGACAAAACGGAAAGCCCAGUCACCACUGGCAUUUGUAUGAACCCUUCCCUUGCACAUUAUGUACAUUUAUGAACUAUUUAUCCUCAUCUGAAUCUGACCAUUGAUAUCUUUAUUUCUCAACAGAAAGAGGCGGCUGCGAAGCAGCUAGCUGCGUUAUCAUCAGUGAUGCGGUGUAUGGAGACUCACAAGUUAGAUCCUGCGAAAGAACUACCAGGGUGGCAGAUCAAAGAGCAAAUUGUUAAUUUGGAGAAAGACACUCUUCAGCUCGACAAAGAGAUGGAAGAGAAAGCAAGAUCCAUCAGUUUAAUGGAGGAAGCGGUACUCGCCAAGAGAAUAUAUAACCAACAGAUGAAACGUCCAAGGUUGUCACCCAUGGAGAUGCCACCAGUAGCUUCGUCAUCAUAUUCUUCUAUCUACCUUGAUCGUAGCUUUCAUAGUCAGAGAGACGAAGAUAGAGAUGAAAUAUCAGCUCUUGUGAGUAGUUACCUCGGCCCGUCAUCAUCUUUUCCUCAUCGCUCAAGUCUCAGAAGAUCCCCUGAAUAUAUAGUUCCACUUCCACCUGGUGGGUUAGGAAGAAGUGUAUAUGCAUAUGAACAUCUACCUCCAAAUUCAUACUCUCCGGGUCACGGACAGAGACAUCCACGACAGUACUCUCCUCCAAUUCAUGGACAACAACAAAUACCAUUUGGUCUUCAAAGAGUUUACAGACAUUCACCAUCUGAAGAAAGAUAUUUGGGUUUAUCCAAUCACAGGUCUCCUCGUAGUAACUCAUCACUAGACCCCAAAUAGGAGGAAUGUAAAUUUGUAACAAAGCUUUUUGUUUUUGUUUAAGGUAGUCAUUUUAUUACCUCACAACAGUCUCAAAAUUUAAUUUAAUGUUUGGCGCUUAAGAAUGCAAAAAAUUUUGCUCUCUGUAAUUGACAUUUCAGAUGCUAAUGUUAUUACUUCACAAGUUUUAGUCAACCUCAGAUACAUCGAUAUCACUAUCUAAAUAGACCUCUGGCUCUUCAUCAUCUGGAUUCUCUUCAUCCUCUGUCUCUGUUCCUUCUUGUUCUCUUUGCACUGCUCGAGCCAUUGCGGAUUCCAACCUUGUGCUUACAGUUUCCCAUGAUACAAGCCUUUCCAUGAAUGUAUUUAUGUAUUCAGCUCUUCGGUUCUGUGUAAAACACAACAAGCAUGAGACCAUUGAUUUCAAAUUAAAUGAAAAUCAUUCGGUUUUGAUAGUACCUCAAAAUCCAGAUAGUAAGCGUGCUAUUUGGCAUAAAGGGAAAAAGAAAACUAAGUCAGCGAUCAAGAAACCAAUCUUUUAUUCAGAUAGAGAGAGAUGAGUGGCAUAUAUUAUACCUCCCAGGUAUCAAUGGUGAGAAGUGGCUGCACAUGGACAAACCAAAUGUGUGAGAAAAUAAAUAUCCAUAGUAGCCAACAACAAAGAUUUUCUCGAUAUUGGAAGUUUAGGCACUUACAGAAUAAUCCCAUACAAGCGGAUUUACUGCAUUGGGCGUCUUCACUAUUACAAGCUUCUUGUCUUCCUCCUUUGGGAGUGGAUUUACGGCAUUUGCAACGUCAAGUCUAUUCGCCUUAUCUGCAUCAAUGAAUCCCCAGAAGCUUAUGUAUGUAAGUAAUUUGGGAGUAUUCAUAUUUGACUAGGGAACAAAGUUAAAAACACUCACAUGCAAGCCAUGUCCAACCCGAACCAAAAUUAGAAGCUGCAGCCGACUUGAACCUUUCCAAAAACUCUUCGAAAGAUCCGAAAUCUCUCUCUAUUAAUCUGGGGAGCUCUCCAGUUGGCUUUCCUCCACCUCCAGGUUGGAUAGACUCCCAGAAGAACUCGUGGUUCCAAGCCUGCAAGCCCCUCAUACAUCUUUAAUUCACAUUCAAUCAACCCAUCUCACAAUAAGAAACUUGCCAAUAUGACCAGUGGUCCUAAUCUGAUUAAAGAUAUGGAUCGUCAGGUGGUUUGCCCACUUAUCCUGGAUGUUAUUUCUUGUCCAAUCCACAGUUCACAAGAAACUAAAUGUGUCAUGUCAAUGCAUGUAAAGCAAGUGUUUUCUUGUUACGUUCAAAUUUAUCUACCUAUCUAUGGCAAUAUUUCUACAUGACCUGAAGAUCUUCAACACUAACACUGCCACUUAUACGAAUACAGUGUACUUAUGGGUUCCAGUCUACUUUUUACAUUAUUUUUCUUAAGAAAAGCUGGUGGAAAGCAAUAUGGCAUUUACCUGUGCAGCGUUGUUGAAGGCAGGAAGCAUAUUGCCUCUGUUGUAUGAAAGAAGCACAACUUCUUCUAAGGGCAGUGUAUCUAGAUCUGUGCCCACGAUUUGCUUGUUCAGAUUCUCUACGUAAGUUCUGUGAUGUUUGCCCCAGUGAUAAUCCAAGGUUUCCCGGCUCAUAUGCGGUUCCAGAGCAUCCUACAAUAUAUAUAACACACCAACGACACAGAGUGAGCAACAUCCCACAUACGUUUCCAAAGCAGCAACCCCAUCAUUUCAUUGAUUUAUUGAGUAUGUGAUUCACAUAGUGUCCAAUUAGCUUUUCUUACAUUCAUCGUUUAAACUAAAAAGUCACGUUACAUCAUAGCUUCGAUAUUAUAGUCGCCGUGAACCUUCACAGCAUAAUAUCACUACGUAUUACUAGAACAGAACAAGCAAGCUCUGAUUCAAUGAUAAGAUUAUAUCAACCAAAAUUCACACCUAAAAAGCUGAGUCUUUUCAAUAUACUUAUUUCCAACUCUUGAUAACAAAUUCAAGAAAACGUACAAGAGGAUAAGGAGGCGGCUUCAGCUCAAACCCCGCAGUGAUUACACCGGAAACAGCCACCUUUCUCGAGAACUGUCUCUGCGUGAUAAAAACCAAAGAAUGUGUUUUGAGUCGUCAAGAAAUGGUUAUUCCCUAUAGAACUAGAGUGAGUUUAAAACAAAAGAACUUUUUUAAGUUUCAUUCAAGCAUUUCAUCAAACGCUUUCCCUACAUAGUUCAUUGGUCAUGUUACCACCUAAAAAAAGAGUUCUUUGUAGAAUUUAUCAGCUAAUUCGAACUUCGAGGAGAUAAGAGAGAAGUCGCAAAACAAACCUUAUCGUUUCUUUUCCAUUGCAUUCGCCGUUUUGGCCCUGUAAAUCACCAACAAAACCCAUAUAAAAAAAAAAAAAAACCCAAGUGUUCAUAGUAAGCGAGAAAGAAAGAUAGAAAAAGGAGAGACCUUGAGAAGGAAGCAGCAGAGGAGAGUACGAGAGAGAUGAGGAAAUUGCUGUCACUGCAACACUCAUCAUCUUUCCUCAAAGCGUUACUGAUUUAUUUGAUUUGAAGUCUGCAACAAAAAAUAUACAGAGAGCCUUCUUAUCUCAAAGUCAAUUAGACUUUUUGAUUAUCAAAUUUUACUAUCCCUCUCCUCCUUUUUUUUGGUCACUGUUAAAAUACUAAUCUUGUCUAUCUGAACGAACAAAAAAAAUAGUUAAAAUACAAUGGGAAUUUCACUAUUUUUACCUGUAAGAGUAAAACCGAAAAUUAAGUGUAUUAUCGAAAAUGACUUUUGAAUAAUUUUAUAAAUUCCUGAUAAUUUAGGAAACCGCAUAUAAAUAAAAUUUCUAAAUCUCAAAAGAUUAGGAGAUGAUGAUAUAAAUUAAAAGAUUAAAGAGAUCGAUUUUUUAAAUUUGCGAUUGCUUCCCUUUUGUGAGUGCUGUCAUCUACUUAAUUUCCUCCUAUUGUUAAGUCGAUCAAAUCAAAUUACAGUGAAGAAUCCAACUGUAAUAUCAAAUGACCAAAUACAAAAAUGGUGAAAAUCCUUUCUGAUAUCAUCAAAUUUAAUGUGCCUCAUUACUCCAUUAUCAAACGUUUUUGACUGUUUUUUAUUUUCUUCCAAAAUUGAUUUGAAAGUAUCUUUUUCAUUACGUUUCGCCAAUCUAAUUAAUGUCCCUACUCCCUACUCCAUUGUUUUCCAUAUAAAUUGGACCACAGAGCCAAUUACUUAAUCUCAUCAAACAGAAAAACUCAAGUCAUCAUCUAUUUCUCUAUCAUGUCGAUCAAGAGUGUUGUUUCUCUCCUAGUGGUCGUAUGCAUCGCAGCCUGCGUUAAUGCGCAGCUACCGCAGUUUCCCCCACUCCCAUUCCCAUUCCCGUUUCCAAAUCCAUUCCAGCCAAGUCCUGGUAUGCCAGGACUUCCUAACCCUUUCCAUCCAAACCCCGGUAUGCCAGGAAUGCCCGACAUGACCAAAUGUUGGUCAACAGUGAUGGAUUUGCCAGGAUGCUUUCAAGAGAUUCAACAAGCCGUAAUGACCGGCAAAUUUGGCAGCAUCGGUCCAGCUUGUUGUAAAGCUUUCCUUGACGCUGAAGCUAACUGCACACCGAAUCUUCCAUUCAACCCGUUUUUCCCUCCUAUGAUUAAACAAAAAUGCUCCAAAAAUGCUGCUCCUCCCACCACCGCACAUUAGGAUGCAAAAUGUAGUUGUGUUAAACAUUAUUUUCCAUAUUUUUUUUAGUCGUCCCAGAAUGUUUUAGACAAGAAAAAAAAAAAGAAGAAGAAACAAUGAUCUAAAUCUAAUAAUAAUGUCCCCUUUCCUAUCUUUUGCUCAAUUAUAAACUCUUUUGAUUGAUGAAUGAAUCUCAAAGACAAGUAGCGCGAUAUCUCUUAUGCGAUUAUGACAAUGUUUUCCAAGAUGAUGAUGAAUAUAUAGCUUCUAUAUAGCUUGACAUGUAGAUCGAUUCAUACACAAUUAAGAAUCCAUCAUACAUUACAUAUAUUAUCAAACAAAAAUGUUACAAAAGUAGUGAAAAAGAUCAAGCCCAAGCUCUUUUCCUAGGGGAAAGAUCAGAAGUCUUGAUAUCAUCUAUUUUGGCAGCCAUUAUGAAAUCAUUCAUGCUCAACCCUCCUGCAUUAUUCAUCCAACAACCAACAACAUACCGUUUUAAGAAACCACAUAGUAUUAAAACUCAAACAUCGAAUAUUUGUAUAUGUUUGACAUACCAAUAGAAGGGGUAAAUAGUUCAGCUCGAACUUGAGUAGGACUUUCCACAUGAAGAGAAGGGUAAUGACCAGAAGCUUCAGCAACCUUCUGGAUCCUGUUUAUGAGUUCAACACCGCACUCGGAAUCCCUCACUUUCCACAUACACCUUAUCUUCAGACCACCCGCUUCAUCCUCCACUAUACUCCACCCCAAAACCUAAAACGAUUACAUAAUACUUGUCUUUAUAUGUGUCAUUUAAACACCAAUAGGGCAAUGAGAAGAGUAAACCAUGAGACUUAUCAACACUAAUCAUUUCAUUUUUUUAACCUCGUAAACCAUUGUUCCUAAUAUGUCCCUCAUGAUACUAAAUCUUCUUUGGCUUAUCUAUCUUUUUGGGUCAAAAUUCUAUCUUAAUGGACUAGAAAUCUGUUAAACACUGGAUCAAGCUUAUCUUCACAACAUUUGAUCAACCAGCGAACUUGAAAAAUCAAAAUUCGAACAUUUUUACACUAAGAGAGAAAUAGUAUAUGUACCUUAUGGAGGAGAGUUCUGGCAUCAUCAGCCGACAAAGGAGGUUGUGAAGGCGAAACAGGGGAACAUUGAAGCUGAGAGAGAGACAAAACAGAAGCGUUUGGUAUCAAAAUCUUGUGCUCAGUGCUUUGGCAACCCAACACUUUGUCUCCAAAUUGACUCGCUAUCUCCUCCGGAUAAGGGUCACGAGCUCCGAAAUCACCGAGAAAAUCCUGCGCCAGAUUAGACCGGGUCACCGUUAACCGGCCUAGUUUACGGUUACUCCUACUCGCAGGUGGUAAUAAACCGAACACUUUAAGGAUUGUGCAAGAAGGUUUACGGAGGAGGAGGGAGGAUACGGAGAUGUUACACGGCGGAGAUGAUGACGUGGCGGCCAUCGGAAGCUGUGUUUUGAUGCUCUGUGCCGAAGAUAAGAAGAGUUUUUGGUUUUAGAGAGCGAAACGAUUUUCAGACCACUGGCUUGAGUUAAAAAAUGGGUGAGGUGCCACGUAAUCAUUAAUUGGGACCCAUUCAUGGGACCGACAUGACACGUCACAUUUUAAAUCUCAGAAGCCCAUUGGGUUUGAUUGUACUUUUGUGUCUACUUUUGGUGAAUCUACUUAAGAUUUUAUAAUUUCCAAAAUUAUCCUUUUGGGUAUCUUUAAUUACGAACAUACCUUCCCUUCUUUCCCGAUUUCAAGCCCUAAAAUUCUGUUUUCUCGCUUUAACGACAGUCGCCGAGUGAGAGAUAUAGAGAGAGAGGGAGAGAGAGAGAUGCCGGUGCACGAGGAGCAAGAGCAUGAGGUGUACGGUGGAGAGAUCUCAGAGGAAGAGGAAGAAGAAGGAGAGAUGGAUACGGAGGAGUACGAAGAACACGGCGGAGAAGAAGGCGCCGCCGCCGGAGAUGAGGAGCUUGAACCUGGCUCUAGCUCUAAGGUAUUGUGAUUCUUCGAUCUAUCUUUUACUUUUAUUUAAUUGAGACUCUUCUUGUUUGUCACUGUAUUUAGUCUGUUCUUUGCUUUGAUGGGUUCGUUAGGACUUAGAGGAUAUGAAGAAACGAAUUAAGGAGAUCGAGGAAGAAGCUGGAGCUUUGCGUGAAAUGCAAGCCAAAGCUGAGAAAGAUAUGGGUGCUGGUCAAGGUUUGUGCUUUUAACUAAUGCUUAGAAUCUUGAAUCUUUAUGCCCAACUUCAGAUAAAUCUUGAAUUGAUAGAUUAGGUUAAGAGCAUGUCUUGUUGAUUUUGAUAUUGCUUUGGAAUCUUGUAGUGAAUCAAUAGAAAUUUACUGGAGUUUGAGUAUGAGAAGGAAAUCAUUAUUAGUAUUGUGCUUUGGUGCUGAAAUCUAUUGAAACAUUCGAGUCUUCUCGGCAAGAAUACCCUUUAGGCUUUGGCUAAUCGGGUCAAUACCCUUUUUGUUGUUGCAUAUCAAUGAAGAUCCUUCAGGUGGUGUUAGUGCGGCUGAGAAGGAAGAAGUGGAUUCGCGUUCAAUAUAUGUCGGCAAUGUGAGGCUUCCACCAUUAAUUUUUUCACAUGUUUCUUAUUCAUGUUUGUAUAUUUUUCAAAGAAAGUUUGUGUUUUUAUUGUUUUGGUACCAAUGAAAUUUGGAGGCUAAUUGUUGUUUGUUUCUUUGACUCUAGUAUUUGCUAACCUACUUACCUUCAUAUUUCAUAAAGCCUUAUCUCCCAUCUGUGGGGUUUUUUAGUAUAUGUGAAUCGUUAUUCCCCACUGAUUCUUUGGCUAUAAUGUGUCUUUGGUUUUGUGUAUAUUAGGUGGACUAUGCAUGUACUCCAGAGGAAGUGCAACAGCAUUUUCAAUCCUGUGGGACAGUGAAUAGGGUUACGAUAUUGACAGAUAAGUUUGGUCAACCUAAAGGUUUUGCCUAUGUCGAAUUUGUGGAAGUAGAAGCUGUUCAGAAUUCUCUAAUUUUGAACGAGUCAGAACUUCAUGGUCGUCAGAUAAAGGUGCAAACUCAUUCACGGAGAUGGAGUCAAUUGUCUUGUAUCUAAAGAUUAGUCAUAAUGAAACUUUGUUAAAUCUAUUUCCAGGUAUCUGCAAAGAGAACUAAUGUCCCCGGAAUGAGGCAAUUUCGAGGAAGGCGCCCCUUUAGACCAAUGAGGGGAUUCAUGCCCGGAGUUCCAUUUUAUCCUCCAUAUGCUUAUGGGUGCGUUCUAGAAACUUAUCUGCCUUUUCCUCUCUUUUAAACAAAACUAGUAACAUUUAGGUUUUAUUGACUUAUAUAACACUAAAGAUUCUGAUAAAAGGAGAUACGAGAAGUCCAUUUGUUUGAUUCAUCGUGGUUGUUCAUAAAAUCACUAAUGGUUGAUGGUUUGUGCAGGAGAGUUCCCAGGUUCAGACGGCCAAUGCGCUACAGACCCUACUGAUUAGGCAAAAUUGUUGUUAAAAGUAGCAGCUGCCUUUCCGUUUGGGAAGGCUUAUCAUCAUCAACUCGGUUCAUCGGACGCUGCAGUUGCUUCGAUUAAAUGAGAUGAGUUGAAGAAUUGUAUGGCAGAGAGAGAUGGGAAUUAUAUUCUAGAUUUUCUGUACAAUAUUUGAUGACAAGAGCAACAUUUUGAGUUCCUUUGUGUUUUUUUUUUUUUUUAUCUUCAAACACGAGUCACAAUAACUCACAAGCUUUCCAUUGAGAAUUACCAAUUAAAAAACUCUUCUAGAUUUGAUACAUUUGUUUGCAUAUAAAAACCGGAAAAAAUAAUUUACCAAAUAAAAAAUGAAAGAAAAGGAAACUUUCGUAUAUUUACACAAAUCGGUUUUAAAAAUAUAUUAAUUAAAAAAGGAGAGAAUUACUUAAAUUAAGAGACUCGUUAAACCCUUUUCGAUUUCAAAGUCGGUUCUUCCUCGCUCUGCGCCGCUUAACAUCGAAGAAAAACCUCUCUAGCUAGCUUCUUCGAAUCUCUCUAUUUAGACUAAUCGUUUUUUUUUUCGAUUCUAAGCAUCUAGCUGAUUCAUAGAAGAAACCCUAACUUCGCGAGCUUUGUUCAUCAACCAACGGCGUGUGAGAAAACAUGGGUCGGGACAACGAUCAGAAGAAGAAUAAGAAGAAGAGAAACAGAAGUAAUGAGAAUGAGAAGAGUGUUGAGAAAGUAGUUACUAAUGAAGAGAAAGUCCCAACGCAGCAGAAGCAACAACAAGGGAAUUGUAAUCAAAGCAAGAAGAAGAAGAAUCAAGAAGUUUAUCCCUUCGGAAAUUACAGAAACUACUAUGGCUACCGAGUAACUCUCUCUUCACUUGUUUAGUAUCAAUAUUGGUUUUAAGUAUCUGAUUUUUGGAUUUCUUUUGAUGGAAAACCGUAAUGUGUUAGAUAAGCCAUGAUACGGAUGAGGAUCCUCGGCUUAAAGUAUUGAAGAAAGAAUGGUUUGAAGGCAAAGACUGUCUUGAUAUUGGUUGCAACAGCGGCAUUAUGACUAUUCAUAUUGGUAUGUUCUCUGCUAAUCAAUAUCGUAAUUUGUUCCUGGUUCAAGAACCUAUAUGCCCAUUAUAGUUGUAGAUAUGUUGUUGUAACUAUACCUGUCCUUAUGAGAAUGCUUUAGUAAAGUGGGAUUUGGACUUUCAUUGUGUCUGAAGUCUCUCUGUUACCAUCUACAAUUUAUGUAAUGGUUACCUGAUAUCUGUCUUUCCACUUCUUCAGCUAAAAAGUUUGGUUGCCGGAGCAUUCUUGGAGUGGAUAUUGAUUCAAGUAAGAACUACUGGUUGCAUAAUAUUUUUCAGGGUUUUCUUUGUAUAUUAACCGAAUCAAACUAAUAAGUACAUUAUCAUUCAAGUCUGCACUAAUUGUCUUGUUUGAUUUAAUCAAGUAUAUCAUAUUAUGUCUAGCUCAAGUGAAAACACAGAACAUCAGAUCAUUUGAAACUUGUGCGAUGAACUACAUUUUCUUUGAUUGAAGGUCGCAUUGAGGAUGCUCACUGGCAUCUUAGGAAGUUUGUCAGAAUGCAGAAUUCCGCUAAGCCUAGUGAACAGAAAUCUAGUUCGGAGGGUGCCGAGGGAGUACAUAGAUCGAAGGAGCAAUCUGUUUCUCUCUCCAAUGGCGAGGCAAAGACCGAUAGCGCAGAAACUAAAGACCUGUCUCAGAUUGUGUCGUUUCAGAAAGAGAAUUUUGUUCUAACCCGAAAUCUUGACGAGAAUCGUUAUGAUACAAUAUUAUGGUAAAUCCCUUUCCUUUUUGCUCCCUUUUUCAUUUGUACGUUUGGCCUCUGCCAUUUGGGAGGACUAGAAACAAAAGAACAGUCACCAGUUCUUUUGGUAAUGCUCAUACCUUAAAGUGCAUAUGAAAUUCCAACUGUAGUUGAGAAAAGCGUCACAGGAGGUUCCUAGUUAAUUUAGCUUAUGUAACUAAGCGUUUCUAGAAAGAGGUCACAUUUUUAGUAGUUGCAAUCAAAACUUCCUCUGUCUAGGAUUCCUAAUGCUGAAAUUGAAAAUAACAGCAUUACUGAUGACAUGUUUCUUUUUGAUGCAGUUUGAGUGUGACAAAAUGGGUUCAUUUGAACUGGGGUGAUGACGGUUUGAUCACCUUAUUUUCAAAAAUUUGGCGUCUUCUUCAACCGGUAUCUAUAUUAUACUUAAUCAUGUGCCCAUUAUUUGCUUUUCAUAUGCGCAACUGACAGUUGGCUUUGCUUUUCAGGGUGGUAUCUUUGUAAUGGAACCUCAGCCUUGGAAAUCUUAUGAAAACAAUCGUCGUGUCUCAGAGGUGUGUAUAUACACAAAUUUCUUUGUAAUUGCACAAGUUAGCUAGAUAUAUAGUUUGAGUAUUUGUUUGCCUUGUGUGUUUGCAGACAACUGCAAUGAAUUACCGAACAAUUGUUUUACGACCAGACCGUUUCCAAGAAAUUCUUCUUGAUAAGGUACCCUGUCUACUCCAUUUUAUUCCUUAGUUCGUCUACUUCAUCUGUAAAUUCUGCCAUGCAAUUGUAUAAGUGUUGUUCAAAGUUAGAUUAAGAGUUUCAGUUUAAAUUUAGCUCAAAACUAAUUUUUGUAAUGAGUUAGUCUUGGCUUUUUUUAUUUUGUCUUUUGAUCCCGUUUGUGAUCGGAUCCUCAUGUUCCAUUACUUGUGUUUUGGUUUUGGCACAGAUUGGGUUUAGAACAGUGGAAGAUCUUACAUCAAGCUUGUCCGGUGCAAGCAAAGGGUUUGAUAGACAGAUUCUCGCGUUCCAGAAAUGAACAUAAUAACCAGAUGCCUCAUUGAAGGACAAGUUGUUGAGUUUUUGAACUUGUGAAAAUCAAAUUAUGACAUGGUUGAACACAAGACAUAAGAGCAACUACAAGUCGCUUCAUAUCUAAUACGUACUCUUUUUGCUACAGCUUAGGCUCUCUAAUCUAAUUCCAUUGGACUUCUUUUUGUAAACGGUUUUAAAUGAUAAUGACACAAAACUUUGAAUUGAUAAAUGAGAGUCUUCGAAUCAAAUGAAUCAACUUGAUACUUUUCCAUGUAAGCACUAAUCAGCAUAUUUGUAGAACAUGUAUACAAUACAGUUGCCAGUGUUGAUAACAAGAAUCAUAGUAUCAAAUAAAUGUAAGCUAAAGGGAUGCCCAAGAUGGAUAAGGACAUUCGUAUUCCCAUCCAGUUCCAGAAUAUUGAACGCAGUGUAACCAGAGAGCCUCGUCAUGCUCCUCGUAUCUGCAUAAGUUAGAAACAUGAGACUCCAUUUGGAUGAAAACAAUAACACGUUGGUUGUUUUAGCAUUUUUUUUACCCUUGUGGGAUCAACUUUGGGCAGUUUGUACACAUUGGAUCGAUGCUGAAAUCUUCGCUAGAAUACACGUAGUCGUCUGGAGAGACGAUCUUUUUCUCACCUGCAUCGAUUCUUUUUGCAAUAUAGGUCUCAAGAUUAUCUAUGUGUUGAUUGAGAUAAAGAGGGUCAUUCGCUAUGGGAUGCCCUGUAUAUUGUAGAUGCACUCGUAUCUACAAACGUCAAAACCAAAAUGAGAACCCCAAAAGGCCAAACUCUCUCUAUCUACUAUCCUCAUGGCCAAUAAGAUCUAAAGAUCCAUAUUAUCUAUUAUGUAUAAUCACUUGCUUACUUGAUGGGUUCUCCCUGUCACUGGUUCACAUGAGACAAGGCUAUGAGUCCCAUUUGUAUCGAUUCUAGUUAACUUGGUGCAUGCAGGCUUCCCCUUCACCUUCUUAUCAUCACCACUUGAAUCGGGGUCCUACAUUCCGAUAGUUUUACUUAAAAAGUGUCCAAUGGAAGAUUUUAUUCUUUAUAACUAGAGGCAUAAUGUGGCUUUACCUCUGCUGUACUUCUUCCUUCACUGCCAUUAUAAUUUAUGUUGGCGUCGACUAUCAUCUGACACAACAAAGUCAUGCAGCUACAUCAAAUGAACUUCCAAACCAAAAGCCUCAAGUGUUCUCCAUAUUAUAACUCCUCAAGAUAAGCUGGUAGAUUUUGAGAUUUGGAUAUUAUGACUGGCCUCAAAUCAGUUUGUUAAUGUUGAUUUAUAUAAUUCGUGCUACUAUAUGAAGUUGGUAAUCAGAGACAGUUCGAAAAUCAUCUAAUAACAUCAAAAGCACCUCAACAAACCUCAUCUUCUGGGAACACGCCAAUAACCUUUGCAAUAUAACGUUUCUUCACCAUUCCACCCUCAAUCUGAAACAAUCAAGAUAAGUAGUAGGUAUGACAUUUUGAUUUACGAGCGAAUAGCAUCUUAGGAAUUAUGGUAUAGCCAAGCAAAAUGAGACCAACUUAGUACCUGUUGCCUGAAAAAAUCUGCUUUAGCCGCCGUUCUUGCUAUGAUGAGCAAUCCAGAAACCAAACGGUCUAAUCUGUGAAUAGCUGUGAAAUGAUGCAAGGAUAACUCGUAUUGUGUUAUUUUAAAAAAGGAGCAUUAUGACAACGUAUCCUUGUCUAAUACUGUUGGCUGGAUACGAAAUAGAGUUCCUAGGUCAUGCUCAGCAUCAAGGAUGCCAACAACUGUGUUCUUACGAUAUUGACCACAUGGAUGCACCUACACAAGAACAAAAAUACCGGCUCUGUUACCAAAAUAUCAAUCGUACACCACAAAGCAUUAAGCAUCUAUAUGUAUACAAUGUGAGUUGUAUAUUUCACAAUGCUUUGAAUAGUACUAACAGAAAGAGAAUCAUAUUAUUUGGUUUAUGAUCUAAUUCAAUCAUUCUGAUUUCUCAGCAAAAAGUGUUUCACAAUCCCAGAGACCACAUAGAGUGAAAACUAUCCAACAGAAAAAAUACUCACAGGAACAGAAGCUGGUUUGCAGACAGUAACAACGUCAGGUUCUUGAUGAAGGAUAACAACAUCAUCAAUCAUCACCGGUGGUUCAUGCCUGAAACCUUUCAAACAUUUAAAAUUUGGACACACAUUCAAUGCAAAACUGAGGUAUCUUUCAAAUAGAAACAAGGAAUAGCAUCUCAAUUUCAAAUAGUAAAUGCAACCAUCUGAAUAAAGUUUAGCUUAAAAACAACCUGUGGAGGAAGUGAGUAAUCUUUUGGGAAGAUUUCACAAUGUAUGAAACUGGUACAAUUUCUCCAUCAACUUUGAUUCUUCCAGAUUUGACUGCACCAAUCUACAAAGUUCAAACAUAUCAAAAUCCCAAAACGCCAGAUUAAUCAUCAAACUAAUAAUUCCUUGAGACUAGAGCAAGAGCAAUACAUAAUAUUCACGAGGACGUCCUUUAAAUUCGUCGGCGAACAAAUCCACAAUUGUUUUCCCUGUCCAGCGUUUGUUCACCUAUACAUCGAUACCAAUGUCACUCACCACUAUACAAGCAAAAACUAGGGCUAAGAAGAAAGAUGGAAGAUACUUACAUGAGAAAUGAACUCGAAGUAGUAUGGUCUCACAUGGCGUCUUCCUGCACAAGCAAAUCAAGCGAUUAAACAAGAACAGUUAGUUGAUUGAAGAGAGAGUGAAGAUUGGAGGAUUUGUUUUUUACCUCCAUGGAAGAUGUAGUCCUGCUUCUGUGAUAGUUUGGAAGGUGACUGUAGAAGUAGGUCAGUAUUCAUGGUGUUUGAGGUGGUGGCGACGACGGGAGAGGCGGCUUUCUCUACGCCGUCGUCUUCUUGCUGCUUUCGUUUCAUGUUUUUAAGAUUAAAUCUUUUAGCGGUGGUCGCUGUCAAUCUAAACUUGGGAAAAACUCGUAUUGGUUUGGGUUAACCAAGUUUUAAGCUACACCAAACCGGUUCCCCGUGAAAGAAUUUGGGUUAGACGUUCGGUAAUUCGGUUUGGUUUUGAUCAAUUCAAAAAAACUGGUAUUGGUUUAUUGAUUAUACGAGGAAAUGUUGGAAUUUAAAUCGAAAUACAUUUGGUUGUGUGGGUAGUAGACAGUUUGGUUUGGUUUGGGUUGAGUUUUCUUGACGGAGACCAAAUUGAAACAAUAAUUGACCUUUGUUUGGAUUUUAGAAUUUUGGUUAGUUUGGUUUUUGAUGUCGGUUUUUUCAGUUUGGUCAAUUAGUUUCAAUAAUUUCGAUUUUUCUCCUGAUAACUUUAUGAUGUUCUAAUCAAAAUGAGAUAAUUGUGUUUGGCAGGGGUUAGAGGAGUCAAGAGGAAGAACAAAAAGUGGUUUAGUGUUGGGAAUGAUCGAAGAGCAAUUUGAGGUUCAAUAUAUAUGGUGUUAAAGUUAGAAAUAUAUAUGGUUUAAGUAUUGAGACAAGUAUUCUUCAGAGGGGCUUCGAAUUUGGAGGAGUGGGGAUGGAGAAUGCGGUUGCGCGAACUAGAUUCUAACCGGGAGAUGAAUGAAAAAGAGGAGAUACCUUGACGUAAGAAUUUUAGUUCAUAAGCUGUGUCUGUGUAUACCUAUAUAGAUGACCUAUUACCUAACAUGGUUGCGGUUUUGUAGUAAUUUAUCAACAUUUUAAUAUUCGUAGAUGAUUCCAUUUUCUUCACCAAAAUUGGUGUUGAAACUGUAUCCCCAUAUGCCAUAUAUAUUCACUAGAAACAGUAACGAUGGUGUUCUUAGCAAAAAAAAGAAACAGUAACGAUGUAUUUAUAGAAAAUAUACAUGACCUCGGUCACGAAACCGAGUUUUGAGUAGUUGGAUCGGAUUGUUCACAUUUUAUGCAUGGUCGACUUCAUGCCAACCAUUUUAUGUAUGGUCGACUUCGACUACGUAUCGCUAUCCGAUUAGCGACUAUUUAACAAUAUCACAAAUGUGCGUCCCAGAAUACACAUCGCCAGAAAUUGGGUUUGCACGAAACCAUUUGCAUUUUUUUUUAAUUACAAUUUCAGCUAUAAACAAAUAUUUUGGAUUUAUUUCCAAACGUAUUAGACCCGUACGAAGUACGGGAAUAAAAUAGUUUUAAAUACAUUGAGUUUGUGUUCUUAUUUUGAUAACGGAAAUGCAUCGAGUUAUUUGCCUCUAAGUAAGAUUUUCUGUUUUUCAUACAUUGGUUGGAUUCCUUUUUAUGUUACUAAGUUAGUGUGUUAUGGAACAUAAUUAGGGUGUGACUGGUUGUUAUACAUAGAGGAAAAGAAUUGGAAAGAAAAAUAAUUCUUCUCAAUUACUCUAUCAAUCCUCCAAAAAAUUUAUUCACCAACAAAAUUAAUUCUUUUCUUCUCAAUUCUUCUACUUUUCAGUAAAAACAACUAAAAACUUCCUCCCAUAAAUACAUAGGAUACAAAUUUCUUCAACUACUUAUUUUUCUUUUCUUCUCAUUUCUUCUCUUAUUUUUCUUUUCUUUUCUUCUUAAAUCACACCAGUCACACCCUUAGUAUAACAUUUUGACUUUUACGUUUUUUCCUAAAUUCAUAAUGGAUUUAUCAUAGAUUUAAUACUAUAUCACCACUACAUUGAUCUUAAAUGUUUUGGAGACAAUAAAAAUAACAUUAUCUCUAAAUUUUACUUUUGUUGGUGUUGUCGCUUUGAUCUUUCUCGGAAAACCGCAACUCGUCUUUGUUAUGAAGUUAACUCCAUUGAAACUCAUCUUGAACGACAUUCAGUGCUUAAACGUUUGAAACACAUGUUUUUGAACUUUUACUUGCUUCCUCUGUUUUAAUUGUCAUUCUGUGAUGUUGUUCAGGUUUCGCUAUGCCGCCUCGUCAGCCAGGAGAAUCAUCUUCCAAUCCUUUGAUCGCUUUCCCGUCCACACCAUUUUUAUGUUGUACGGGAUCAGCCUGUAAUCGUCCACCUUCAAGAGAGAAACUCAGAAACAUAGUUAGAUGAGAUGAGAGAGAUAGGUUAUAUAGAGACAUUGUAUAGCAAAGUUAAAGUAAUCAUCACAGAGAUAACGAAUGAAAAAAACAUAGUUAGAUGAGAUGAGAGAGAUGGGUUAACAAUGUACAGCAAGUCACAAUCAAGUAAUUUGAAAGAAACAUAAGUUUGCAAGUGAGAUCCUUGAGAAACAGAUAUGAAAGUUCCAUAAGUCACAUACUUACUUAUCUUACGGAAACAAAUCAAUUUUGAAAUUGCACACUCCUCACAUUCUGAACAAAUCUUUCAAUCAGUCAAAUCUUGAUUCUCAUGAUCGGAUAUUUCAAGUAGGCAUUUGAUUAACACAAAGAUUGAGAUUGGAAGUAAAACUCGUUACUUUAAUCAAGUUCACCAACUCUUGUAUCUCCUGUAUGUGGAACAAAGUAUAAUGUUCCCAUUACGUGUCCUGCUAGAAAAGAAAAGUUUAGUAAAUAUUAGUUGGCUUUUAAUAAAAAAAUUGAUCUCAAAGUAUAUGUGAGUUUAUUCAGCUUACAUUGUCUGCAAUGGACAAAUGCUAGCCAUGUACUGUUUUAAAACAAUUUGAAGUCAUUAUCAUGCAACAAAAAAUAAAAUUAAUGUGUGAAGUAAGAACUCACCACCAACGUCCAAGACAUGAAUCUGAGGAGGCUGAGUACGUGAGAGAGCCAGAGACGUAGCAGACUGAGACAUAUAUCUCUGAUGCUUCUGCACCGAACAGUUGAGAGAAACACAUAUAUCUCUGAUGCUUCUGUACCAAUGUACCAUACAGAGCAGCCCGCAUGAACCGUUGAGAGAAAUUAAUGAUUCAAAAUUUCUGAGAGCAAAUAAAUGAGUUUGAGUUCAUCGUGAGUUAAAUAUAUAGAGGAUGAUGAAACGGUUUCAACGAUCUUGAGAUCGUGAAAACGUGGUGACGGUGGUGUGGUAGUGGUAACUUGUGCUAGAAAAUUUAGGGAUUUUUAAGAGAAGGUGCGUGAUGUGUUUUAUUGUUUAUUUGAUUUUUUUUUUUAAUUUCAAAAAUUGUGAAAUAGAAACCUAUGUGGCAUAAUUUGAUUGGCCAGGUGAUUUGUGCUUUAUAGUAUAAAGUAUCAAGAAAAUAGGAAAGGAAACAAAUCAAAAAUAAUUAAAUAAUGACGUGUCAUAGCAUCAUAUCCCCAUCGCUUCUUCCUCACUGCUCCCAACAUUUGCCUCUGAUUGCAUCAUUUUCCUUAAGCUUGAGAAGCUUUCCGAUUUCAAAUUCCUUUUAAUUCACGAUGCCUUCUUCGUUCUCCAAGCCGGCUUUAGAUCCUUCUUCAUCGCCUCCACCGAUUUCUCCUUUAUCUCAAGACAGCUCGGAGGCUGAGCGCCGGCUUCGGGAAGCGGAGGAGAGGCUACGCGAUGCUAUGGCGGAGCUUCAACGUAGACAACGCUCCGCGGCGCGUGGAUCUCACGCCGAAUUAUGUGAUCACGCUGACGUUUCUUGCGUCGCCAAUGCCAUCGGGAAUUUAUGCCAGAGCUUUCUUCUCUCUUAUGGUGUUAGAGUUGGGAUCGGGAUUCUUCUUCGUGCUUUUAAGCUCGCUAGGGGACAGUCUUAUUCGUCUCUUCUCGAUCUGAAGGUGAUGAAUUGGGAUCGUUUUUUGUGCUUUUGUGGCAAUUUCAUGGUUUGUGUUUGAUAGAUAGUGAAUUUUGUUGGAGAUUUAGAGUCUUACGAGUCUCUGCUUUAGUGUUCCAUUUGAUACGAUUGUUUUGAAAUUAGAGCCAAUUGGUCAUUGACUUGGACAUAAAAUUCAAGGUGGUUCUAAAAUGGUAUACGUGAUUCACUCACACAUGAACAAUGGUUGCAGCAACUUGUCUCGGAGAAAGAUUUGAUAGUUAGGGAGGAAGCAUGUCGUAUUGGUCUACUUUUUGGUGGCUUUACAGGCUCGUAUCAUGCCCUUAGAUGCUGCUUGAGGAAGUGGAGGAAGAAGGAAACGCCAUUGAAUUCGUAAGUUUAUGGUUUGUCUUAUUUCGGCUCGUAUCUCCUGUAUGCUUGCGCAUAGUGCUUGAAAAGUAUAUUCCUUAUUAUGACUUUGAUUAAGGGUGGAGCAGAGUCUUAGCAGGUUCAGUUGCGGGUUUGUCUAUCAUGGCUUUAGAUGAUUCCAACCAGCGGCGCACGCUUGCUCUAUACCUCUUGGCUAGAUUAGGCCAGGUACAUCUAAUGGUCAUAAUAUUGUCUGUCGUACGAGUAAUAUCACCACACAGAUGUUUUUUUGGGAGUCUGAUCUUCCCUCUUAUUAUUAGGCGGCUUAUAAUUCCGCAAAGUCAAAGAACAAGUUCCAUCUUUGGGGUAGCCAUUGGAGACAUGGAGAUUCAUUACUUUUUUCUCUUGCAUGUGCUCAGGUAAUUGAGAUUCUUCUCUUUUCUUCUUGUUCUAGCUAGUAAUGGAAAUGGUAUAGACGUUGAAGAAAAGUUUUGUGAAACAUACAUAUUCUCUCCAAUCUGAUUUAGUAGUGAUUAUGAUCAGCAAGCUAAUUUUGUUGCAAUGAGGUUGGUGCAGGUUAUGUAUUCCUUUAUAAUGCGUCCUGAAACCUUGCCAAAGUCAUAUAGAGAAUUUAUUCAGAAAACUGGUCCUGUUGCAAGGCCUGUCUACCAGGCUGUAAGAGAAUGCUGCAGAGGUGGUCCAAUUGAUGUAGCCUCCUUAUCAGCCUAUAUUUCUAGUAAAAACGAAGCGAGUGACGUGAAGGUGGAAGAAUUUGCUUCCAUCAUCCCUUGUGCAGCUAUUCAUCCAAACACUAACUCGUGUCUGGCCCAAAAUGCUAACGCAAUGUCAGCUACAUUCAAGAAAACAUUUCCAUUAUAUUACUCCCUGACAUUUGUCCCAUAUGUCGUUCUACACCUACAAAAGGUAAGGCUUUCCUUCAAUAUUUGCCGUUUCAGUGUUUAGAUUCGUAUGGUUUAUGCAUUAGUCAGACAUGAUAUGUAUUUUCUGAUGCCAUCCUACACUUUCAGUUCAUGGCUUCUCCUUACCGUACAUCUUGGCUUGCAAUCAGAGAUUCUGUUAGAUCGACGUCCUUCUUGUCUGCUUUUGUUGGGAUUUUUCAGGUAGCUGGUUUUUACAUUUGAUUGUGUCCCCUCAAUUCAUACAAUACUCAUAGUUUCCUAAAAGCAUUCCCAAAUGUAUUUGCCUUCUUUCCCAUUUGCACUAGGCUUUCAUAUGUGCCCAUAGAAAAGUUGCAACCAAGGACCACAAGCUCGUUUAUUGGUUUGCGGGUGGUGUAGCAGCCCUCUCAGUUAUGCUGGAGAAAAAACCAAGACGAUCUGAGCUUGCUCUAUAUGUUCUUCCUCGAGCAGGAGAUUCUCUGUGGGAGAUACUUAUUAAUCGCCACCUUCUUCCCGAUAUUAAAAAUGCUGAGGUACAAUACAAAUUAUUGUUGUAUCUAACUUUCUUCCGCUUUUAAUAGUGAAACUGAUGUUUUAUCCAACCAAUGGAAACAGGUUGCUUUAUUUUGUGGAUGUAUGGGAGGAAUCAUGUACUACCUAGAAUAUGAACCUGAUACGAUGGCUCCAUUUCUGAGGGGACUUAUCCGUCGGUUUCUUGCUAGUCAAAUAAGCAAUCCUAGCAGCAAAUACCCUCAUAAUUCUUCCUAUACAUACCUCCAGACUCUAGAUGCAUUGAAGAAACCAAAAACGCAGGAGAGCCGAGAAGGCGAAACUCCGAAAGCCGAAGAAAAGUAUAACUUGGAAGCAAUUCCUGGUCUUUAGAAGCAGAAGCUGUCUGAUACUGUAUUAGCACCUGACGUUGAAAUUGAACAAACCAAAAAGGACCCUUUAGGGAAUCAUGAUUUUGAUUGUGUUUCAGGAAGUUAAUGUGAAACUUUCCAGAAAGGAAGGGUUCCUCCACAGAGAAAACUUACGAGAUUGAAGUGAUUCAUAGGAUUUAGUUGUCUUUUAAGUGUCUUUUAUUUUCUUUCACGUAAUAACAACAACUGUCUCUUCUUUAUUUCAAUGAGAAGUUGCAGAAUGGAGAAGAUUUAUAGGAAGCGAGUCAAGCUUAAAGGCAGAAACCCAGUUGCUUUGAUUUGUUCACAUCAGUAAUCUAUUAUACUCCUUUUCUUUGGUACACCAUUGCUCUUGCUUCUCCCAUAACAGUAUUCCAAUACAAUUUCUCAGUACCACCUUUCUGCUUAAUUCCUUAUUGUUCUUGUCCUUGUUCUUUUGUUAUAAUGCGUUCCUUAUAUCCUUGUUUUAACAAACUCACUUAAACGAAACAGUGUGUUGUAAGUUUCAUUAUGUGAAAAUGAAACAGAUGGAGAUAAGUCAAUUCGGCUAAGAUAUGACUUGGUCUUUCAAUUCUCAUAUCCAAACAUUAUUAUAUUACUCAAACUGUUGUCUCUAUUGGUCGUAAGGUUUUAUGGUCUGCGGGUCACUGACACUUGUAAGCAUGUAAGGAAUUCUUCAUAUGCUACGAAGUCAAAUGUCAAAGGGAGUUUUGUAAUAGAAAAUUUCAAACAAAGUCGUGACGGUACACACCUUCAUUGUAUAUUCAACUCGAUCUUUUCUCUCUCUCGCUUAUGAAUCAUCACCAAAAUGGAUGCUUUUGAUACUCAUUUACCGAAGGAGAUCGUCUCUGAUCCUCUCUAUAACUCCUUUAACCCUAGGAGUGAAGAGUAUGUCGUUGCCGGAAAGAUUUACUUGGACAAAGACGGUUUUAGCCCGCUUCAUGCAGCUGCAGCAGCCGGGCAAGUAGAGACUGUGAGGGCAACUUUGGGGGUUGAAAAUAAGCUCUGCCGUCUCAAAGAUAGAGAUGGUAAGACUCCUCUUCAUGUGGCAGCGAUGAGAGGGAAAAUCGAUGUGAUCAGAGAGAUUGUAGCGAGCUGUGUUGAUUGCGUAGAAGACGAGACGGUACAAGGUCAAACUGCUUUGCAUCUUGCUGUUCUAUACCAAGAGAUCGAAGCGGUCAUAGCCAUUGUUGAGUUGAUCACAGAGACAAAUCGAUUUGAUGUUUUGAACAAGAAAGAUGAACAGGGCAACACUGCUCUUCAUCUUGCGACCUGGAGAAAAAAUCGCCAGGUAAGAAGAAUUAAGUUGAGGUCGAAUAGUUUUCUCCGAGUGGAAUCAAACUCUGUUUUUCUUUUGCCUACAGGUGAUUGAUGUGUUGGUUCAGGCAAUACCAGAAGAAUCAAGGUCGUUUGAGGUGAAUGCUAUGAACAAGAUGGGUCUAUCUGCGAUGGAUUUGCUGGUUAUGUUUCCAAGCGAAGCUGGCGAUAGAGAAAUCUAUGAGAAACUCAUCGUGGCUGGAGCUCAGAGAGGUCGAGACAUUGGUACCACUAAUGUCGAGAGAACCACUUCUACUUCCACAUGCCAAGAGAGAGCAAGGGAGUCUCAAAGCCACAAAGAACUUGUUAAGUACUUCACUUUCAAAAAGCACAGAGACUCACCAUCAGAAGCACGUAGCGCGUUACUAGUGGUGGCUUCACUAGUCGCCACAGCCACGUUUCAAGCCAGCUUGACUCCACCAGGUGGAACUUGGCAAGAUAGCUCAAUACCUGCUGUAUCCCAGAACACAACGAGUGUGAAUACUACAAAUCAACAAGCUCAUAUAGCAGGGCAAUCUAUCAUGGGGACCUUCAAUGGAGUUGCUUUCACUUUGUUUGUGUUCUUUAACACAAUUGGGUUUUCGGUUUCACUGUCUAUGCUCAACAUUCUCACCCUCGGGUUCCCAUUGCGGUUCCAGCUUCAGAUAUGUAUGAUUGCUAUGUAUUUCUCGCACAACACAACCAUGGCCAGCAUUGCACCUGAUCAUGUCAAGCUUUACUGCAUUCUCAUCACGUCCAUCCUUGCUGCUACCACCCCGAGUUUGAUGAAGUUGCUCGAGAAGCCUAUUGGCAUGCUCGGUCAAUUCUUGGGCUCCAGGUUACAUAAAUUUUGCUCCAUGAUUUCACUUUCAUGUAAACGUUUUGUAACAUAAUAGCAGCCAGUUCAAUAUCUACCUUCUUCCAAUCACAAUGACCUGUUGUUGCAUUGUACAGAAAUCACCAUUGUUAUUACGAGUGAUGUUAUGAUUUAUGAAGGCAUUUCUUAUAAGAGUUAUGAAGACAUAUAAUGUGGAACACCUAAGAUCACAGAUCAACUCAUGCUUCUAUGUCGUUACAAAUGCAUACCUGAUAGGUCAGCAAACACAGAAAUUUGGGAUUUUCUUAUUCAUCUGGGAGUUUACAUAUUUUGUGUGUUUUGUUUCCUAUCUUACACUCAAUCCCACCAAACUUAGAGGUGAAGAUACGAUUCUGAACGCAACCACCAGCUCUAAGCUUCCUCAGUUCCGCGUCAACAGCUCCCUUUAGGGAAGUUCUAAUAUCACCCAACGCCCAGACCAAGGAUAUAUGUGGCCGCGGAUCCUAUAGGAAAAUUGAAGCAAUGGGUUAAGUGUUGGUGACAGUGACAUUUGUUAUAUACUAUCAAGCUUUUAUACAGAAAAGCCAUUAGACCUUGUAGAACUCUGGCAGAUUGUGGAGCUUGUAAACUUCAUUAACAGCAUCAAUUUGCUUACUUAUCUGAAUUAAGGAUAUGAUAAUCAAUACAAUAUCUAACACAAGGUACCGAGUAUGCAAAAAGCCAACAUUCAAGGUAACUCUUGUUGUACAACAUACCUCGGAUAGUCCUGAAGUGGUGAUUUCCAAAGAAAGGAAAGAGCGAGUACAAUCGUCAUUCACAAAGACUUCCCACUUAUUAAAAUCGAUUGCAUAUCUGUCCAAGCACAGAACAGAAAACAAUUCAGAAAGCACAUCCUAAUUGGUUCAUAUUGUAAACAAGAAAUGAUCUAACCUCUUCUGUAAUUGAAGCUUUUGCCGAAGCAUAGAAACCACCGAGUUAAUCUGAUGAACACGUAGAGGAACACUUCUUCCUAAGCUAAUGUGGAACUCUCUCCCCAAGGCACGCUCAAACUUCUGAUCAUCCUUGCAUAGAAUGCUGAGUGGCACAUCAGCCUCCACCAAAUGAAGAUGAGGAACAACUGAUGCAACCCUCUUUAAGAAACAAACAAUCUCCUUCUUCGGCAGUGGAGGUAUAGAAACUAAAACCCAAAAACAAAAUAAACACUUCAACAAUACAUUCUCAAACACAUACUUAUCCUCUUACACUAAACAACCACCCCACUUCAGAAUUCAAAAACCUCAGAAACAUGAACGAUGGAGAAGCUCAAAUUCUGAGAGAGAUUACCAGGUAUGUACACGUGCAACGCGUAAUUUCCAUCGACGUGAGGAAAGUUUCUUACACGAACUCCAGGCUCUGUGGAGUCAAGCGAACCUUCAAGUUCAGACCAAAUCAUAAGUAAGUGAUGAGUGUAAGAAUUAGAUUGAGGAACAAUGAUAGAGACAAUUCAUGAGCAUCAUCACCUGUGGAUACAAUGGAAUCGAGAAGCGCAAGCGGCGGAGGAGGCAAGGAAAUCGAAUCCUUCUCUUGCUUCCUAGCCGUUGAUUUCUCGCUGGAGUUUUCAGUAAUGGUACCAGCCGGAGAAAGAUCAUCGGUAUCGGAGUCCGACGAAGAGUCGCCGUAGGACGCUCUCAAUGCUUCCAUCGCCGGUCAAUUAAAAAAAAAACAAACAGAGAAAUUAUUUAAACCAGAUUUUGAUUUCAAGCAUGAACCAGAUUAAACCAAAAUGAUUCUAAACGAACCAAAUUAAAUUAGACCAAUUUAAACCGAACCAUCCGCGAAAACAAAGCAGCGGAAUUCGGAACGGGCCGAAAAUGGGCCUUCACCGAAGAUCAAGCAAAACCCUAAUUACGUUCCCUAUAAAUUAGACACCAAUCGCCGGUGGAAUCAUUAUCAAUUGCGUCUAGGGUUCUCUUCUUCUGUACUCAAUCUUUGUCUUUAUCGUUUCUUUGGUUUUUUGAUUGAUAGUUUUUAAGUUUCGCGAUGUAACUCUCUAAUGGAGAGUAAGAGAGAGUAUGGCGGUGAUGACUCGGAAAUUUCAAGCUCAACAGACCGGAAUUAAGCGUUUCUUCCAUUAUUGGUUGAUUCGUUUCUGUGUCGAUACCCCCGCUGAUCUGAGCCUUCCUCUCUUUCUUUCCCCUUAAUUCUGUUUUGAUUUCGUUUUCUAAUCUGAAAUUUUCUCUAGCAACCGAUUUUUGCUUUUUAUUUUUAAAAUUGAUUUUGAAAUCGUGUUUACGGAUUUUGAUGAUGAUUUUGGAGAUAACGAUGAGGAUAUACAGCUCCCUCUUCUGAUUAAGCUGAAGAGAAUUGCUGGCAGAAUCGAACCUAAAUCACUAGCCACUACUGAGUUAUCUCCUUAAUCCUCGUAAUUGGUUUUGAAUAUUUUGAUCAGGAAUAGGCCAGUUAGAUGGUUGAUAAUGAUGAAGCAAAAUUAAUCUAAUCCAACACUUGAUCUGAGAGAUACUUUGUGUAUCUCAAAGUGAAGUUACACCAGUUAGCUUCUGAAUCUAAUUUUGUUCAAUUAUCUGAUUUGCCAGAUUCUAGUUUACUGGCAACUACCAACGUAGCUAUAAUCGAUUUUUGCGAGAUUUUCAAUCGACAGAAAGAUUAAAUCAUUAAAAUUGUUUGCAUGAAGUAACUACAAAAUCACUGCUAAUUAUCGAAAUCUCAAGUCGUCUUAAUGUCUAAAACUAAUAUAAUCCAAAGUUAACGAUCUCUAUAUAUGACCCAAAGAGCAUGCGGUUUGAAACGUCUAACGCUGAAUGUAAUUGUAGUUAUUAAGGUUCCCGUUAUGGCCAAGAUAAAAUACAUAUGACUUAGAUUUUGGGACCAAUGAGAGCGUAAUUUGUGGAAACAACCACAAGGAAGCCAAUAUGAUUGCAAAAGGGUAAUAACCAUGACUCAUGGAAAGUAAGAAAAAACCAAAACGACAAUGUUCUUUACUGUUCUAAAAGAAAGAUUAUGGUAGCUUCCGUAAGUAACAGUUGUAACUAAAUAACAAGAUCCCGUUCUUGAUAUUUUAUAUGGCGAUAAUGGAAGAAAGAAAGAAACCAGUGAAGUCAAAGAUUAUUAUUUUUGGUUGUUUUUUUCAGAAAAACUGGAAAAAAGUCAUUAUCUUUUAUGUCCCCCGAAUUAUUAGUUUUAUAGACAAAUAAAAAGAAAAUAGCAAAGGAGUUUGUUCCCAGGAAGUCGGUAUCUCUCUAUCGAAGCCGACUUGACGAUUCCUUACUUGCACGUUACACAUUUUUUGUGUGUUUGUUUCCUUCCGUUUCCUUCUCUGGCAAGUCUGCUUCGUACGUGCUCUCUUCAUUUCCACUUCACACUUUCUACUUUUUUACCAAAUCUUAUCCUCCAAUUCGACUUGAACAAAUUGGGUGUUUGGAGCAGCGUUGCUGCUGUAAUUGGAUCUGAUCCGAUCGAAUUCGAUUGUAAUUUGGAUCCCAUGGAGGAGGAGAACGGUGUUUGCAAGGCGGAAUCUGUCGAUGGGAGCCUUGAUGUUUGGAAUUGUCAGAAUUCCGAUUCUUCUUCCGCUGAUCACCUUGUCGUUAUGGUCCAUGGGAUUUUAGGAAGGUAAACAAACUUUCAUGGACUUUGUUAGAUAGAGAUUGUUCUGUUUUACUUUAUAUAUAUUUUUGCAAUUCGCUCACAAGCAAUUUGGUUCUGCAGUACGGAUGAUUGGAAGUUUGGAGCUGAGCAAUUCGUCAAAAAGCUGCCUGACAAAGUCUUUGUUCACUGUAAGUAAUCCUUGCUUCUCAUUUAGUGAUGAUUUUAGAAAGUUGCAAAUUGGAAAUUUGUUUCCUUUUUCAUAUAUAAACUUAGUUAGUAGUGGACCCUGUUUCUAAUCUUUCAGCUAUUGAUUACGUUCUUUUAUUCCAUUUCUUGCUCCUAUUGGGUCUGUGUCGCUGGCAAUUAUCGUUAAACUGUAAUGUUGAUGCUUGGUGAGACUUAUAUUAUUAAAUGCUCCAAGAUUCUUAGUGAUCUUGCCGUUUUUUAAGCAGGUAGUGAAAAGAAUGUGUCUGCGCUUACUCUAGAUGGUGUGGAUGUAAUGGGUGAGCGUCUAGCAGCUGAGGUAAGGCGUCAUAUAUAUGUCCUCUUUCAUUUACAUUUUGUUAAGUUAAUUAGACUCUGUUUGAUUUAACGAAAUGCAUGUCAGGUUCUUGAUAUUAUUCAAAGAAAACCAAAUAUCCGUAAAAUCUCCUUUGUUGCACAUUCUUUGGGUGGGCUUGCAGCAAGAUAUGCAAUUGGGAAAUUGUACAAGCCUGCUAAUCAGAAAGAUGUGAAAGACUCGUUAGCGGAUAGUAGUGAAGGGCCUCCCAAAGGCACAAUAUGUGGACUUGAGGCUAUGAACUUUAUUACUGUAGCUACACCACAUUUGGGUUCAAUGGGUAAUAAACAGGUAACUUUACUUAUGUAGUGAUUUGUUUCAUCUUUACAAAUUGUUUGAAACAAAUUUUCUUCUACAAAUUUCUUUGCAUAACAUGAUUCUGGUGAAUGUAAAUAAACAAACAAACAAAAUAAAGAUGACUCAUUUGUUAACUUAAAUGAAGCUAUAUAUUAAACUUGGCACUAUGUUUGUUCAGCUUUCCACCAACGUAAUGUAUAUAAGAUAUGACUGAUGUACUUGCUUUCUUGAACCAUGGAAAUCUGUUUGCAUGAUUGAAUUAACAUUUCACUUAUGUCGGAAUGUUAUUCUCAUAAGAUUCAGAACAAGUUGUUAUUUUCUUCCAGGUACCGUUUCUCUUUGGUUUUUCUUCCAUUGAGAAAGUUGCAGGUCUCAUUAUCCACUGGAUAUUUAAAAGAACCGGCCGUCACCUUUUCUUGAAAGAUGAAGAAGAGGGAAAACCACCCUUGCUUCGACGCAUGGUGGAAGAUACUGAUGAUUGUCAUUUCAUGUAUGCCAGUCUAUUCCCCAUUUGUCACAAGUAAGUUCACCUAACCAUGUCUCGAAGAUUUUCUCACUAGAAAACAUUUUCAUCAAUUGCAGAUCUGCACUGCGAGCCUUCAAAAGGCGGGUGGCUUAUUCAAAUGUGGGCCACGAUCGUAUCCUUUAUGUGUGUUACUUAUAGUAGUGUCCUUUUUAGCAUCAGACAUUACAUUUUUUCCUUCACUAGAUCUGAAUAGACGUUGUUGGCUGGAAGACGGCAUCUAUCAGACGUGACAGUGAAUUGCCUAAGGUAUCUGACUUUGAUUGGAUAACUUGAUUUGGUUCAGGAUUAUGAUAUAAUGGGUCUCUUUUAUAAUUGAAUUACUUCUUGUUUACCAGUGGGAAGAUUCUCUGAAUGAGAAGUAUCCUCACAUUGUUUACGAAGAACUCUGCAAGGCAUGUGAUGCUGAGGACAUACCAGAAGGCGAGAAUCAUUCAGAUGACAUAGAAGGUUAGCUUGUACCUGAUGCACUGACCGUUUAGGCAUUUAUCAGUGAUUUUGUAGAACUUAUUGUUCACUUCUCUUAUUUCUAUUUCUAGUUGCUAUGCUUUAGAUCUCAUUAGCUGGUAACAGAAGUGUUCAGUACAAACAAUUCAUAUGUUGGACUACCAUAUGUAGUGCUUCUGCUCUCUUAUUCAUGUACAACAUGAUGUAUUUAAUAACGUAGUGCCUUGUCAAUUUUGCAGAAGAAAUGAUCAAAGGCCUCUCCACAGUCUCAUGGGAAAAAGUUGAUGUUAGCUUUCACAGUAGCAGGCAGAGGUUUGCUGCCCAUAGUGUUAUACAGGUCUCUCACUCUCACCUGCCAUCCCUCAUCUGUAACAUUUGUUUAUCCUCACUCCUAAGGCUUUUUAAUUGCAUCUUCUCUUGAUAGUUAUCUUUCUGUUGUUAUAUAAGCUUGAACGAUAACAUAGUGUUCAUUCAUUUUGAUAGGAUUAAUCUCCACAUACUUUCUAGUAAAAAUAUGAAGUCUAAUAUCUGUGUUAUGCCGUUUACAGGUUAAAAAUGAAGAUAUGCAUAUAGAAGGAGCAGAUGUCAUAGAGCAUAUUAUCGAUCAUUUCCAUGCUUAAAUCAGUAAACUUUUCAUCACCCAAGAGUCUGGGACACGAUAAUUAAGGACUCAAGUUUCUUAUAGUAAAGCAACAUUUUCCACUGGACGUUUAUAUGUCACGUAGUUGUUUACACUAUAAAAUCAGCUCAUUUUCUCUGUAAUUGCACAGGUAGCAAGAUGUUGAUUAUGACCAAUGUAUUUGAUACUUGGUAUUAGCAGCAAAGCAAAUCUUGUUCAAUUCAAUUGUAUCAUGUAUUCACAUAUAUUUUGCAAUGGAAAGUAUAAAAUAGCGUACUUUAAAUGAAAGCUUUGUGCCUAUAUAUUUGUUUACUUAGAAGAAUUCCUACCUACUGAGUUGGUGGUUGUUUCUUUGAUUUGAUGACUUGAAAUAGUCUAGAUAAUCUUGUCAUGUUGUAUGAUGUGAAUAUGUCACGACAAAUAGUCUAGAUAAUCUUGAAUGUGUCUUUGAAAGCUGAAGCUUUGGUGGAGACUGGAAUAUGUUACCUUUUUCUUAUAUCGUAUUGAAUUCUGUGUCUUGGGCAUUCCGUAUCUCUUUAGUGUGGACAUUGAUACUGGCAAAGACAGGUUUGUUGGUUUAAGACCUCCCUAGGUUGUUGCCUUGUUGUCGUGUGUACUUUAGUUGAAUGCCUGUCUUCAGUAUAACUUGUGUGUGUGUGUGUGUGUGAAAUUUCUACUUCAGAUGUCCAACAGAGAAGGAGAGGAUUUGGGAUCUGAAAUGGAACUCUGACUUUGAUCGAAGUUCCACUUAGUUUGAUGUUGUGGAGCAUAUUUUCAUCUUAGUUAAAAAUGGUCCAAUUUAUUGUUAGAAUGAACAUUUCGGUAGGUUCAAAGUAGUUUUGUUGUCUCUGUAGGACCCUUUCUCAGCCAUGGAAUUGUCUGUGUAUAGUUAAUUUAUGUAUUGUACAUGAUCAGCUCUUCCAAAAUGUAGAUAUCUUAUCUUUUGCUUCUCUUGAAGGUAGGUCCAGCUUCUCUUGGAGUCGGUUUGUAAGAAUUUAGUUCACCAUCAUUCAACAACCAAUGGGUCUCGUUAUCAAACUAUAUGUUGCCAUCUACUUUAAUACCUGAUGAGAUUUUUUGUUCUAUGGUGAAAUUUAUAAGGUUGAAUCAAAGUGCAUCUGUUUAUGGGUGUCUGCACUAUUAAAUGGCGACCACCAUAUUGUUCGAAGGGUUCAUUAGCACGGUCUUGUAAGUAUGAGCUUCCUCUUUGUUCUAUAAGAAAAUAAUCAUCCUCUUGAGCUCGUUUAAGGAACGGUGGAAAGAAUUGCACUUAAGAAGAAUGAAUGAAUGAAUAUAGCAAAGCAUUUUUUACAAUCAGCUAAUCUAGAAGCUUUGAACACAACCACCCUUAAGAUUUGUAAGUUCUUAUUUAAAAUCAUCUUCUCGGUGCUUUACUUGUAGAUGAUAUAUACACCAACGGUUUUUAUGUCACCUAAUGUUUGAUCCUCAGAAGCUUACGUAACCACGAGUUGAGAGUGUCCAAGAGCUGGAUAAGGGGAUAACAGAGCAACGGAGAAUAUUCUCAUCUCUUUACUGUCUUCUCCGUCCCAAAACCCCAUCCAACUUGACGGUGUUAACGGGCAAGCCUCAGCCUGAGCCUGAAUUUCUGCCUCUUCCCUCUUCACAGCUUUAUGGCUACACAGGUUACUUCCAUGGCUUUCAUCCCCCGUUACUUGUCUCUUCCUCUUUGCUUUUAAAGAGACAGUCUUGUUGUUGUCUCCAUAGUCCUUGUGCUUGCCUGCUUCAAGGGGAAAGUUAAGAAUGGCUUUGUUUCCUCGUAGUUUAAAAGCAGCGUUGUCGUAACCUCUUGCAGCUUCCAUGGCUGUGUCAAAAGUCCCUAACCAGAUACGAACACCUUUCUUGUUUGGGUCUCUGAUCUCAGCCGCAUACUUACCCCACGGUCUUCUCCUGACGCCUCUGUAAUGCCUCAGGUCAUCCUCUUGAGCCACUGGUGCAGGAACUGCUAUAGUGGCAAGAGGUGGCUUGCGUUGGCUUAGAGUUGAAGUGGUGCAGUGGUGGAUGGUGGAGACAAAGGUGUCUAAGGAAGGGAAAUCGGUAAGAAGGUGUUGGGUUAUGAGAUUCAAAGCUGAUUGGUCUUGUUCUAGUUGAUGUGAAGAAGCCAUAGAUGAUACUGGAGCCUUUUUCUAUCUGAUUGUUGUUUUGAUUGUGGGUUUUGGUUUUUGAGAUUGGAGGGUUAUAUAAAAAUGGAAAGUGAGAGGUUUUUGAGAUUAGCUUCUUUGGUUGGAGAGAGGAAGGAUCCUUUUCAAUUAUUUUGACUUGUUUUCUACUGUUGUUUUGGAGUGUGGCAAGUGGACUUUAAAUAUUAGUAUAAGUUUAAGACAAGAAAGGAGGGAUUUUGUGGAUUUGUCUCUAUUUCCAGGCUUCUUCAUAUCCGAGACACAUUUUAAAAAUGGUUUUUAUUACAGAAAUUUGAAACAAAAAUUGACACUUUUUAAAAAUUUUAUGGGUACAAGUUUAUGUCUGCUUGCCUGUUUUAGACAAUUUCUCGACGGUGUAGGAUUCUCGUUUUUGGUUCACUGUGGAUUAUAUGAUUAGGUGGUUGGAAUUUCUCUUUUGGCCGCACUGUUUCUAUCUUUUUGAAAAUAAUUGGGUUACUUGAUUUAUGUUUCUUUCACGGCUAAGCGAUGAAGUUUUUCCUUCUGGUUGUUUCCUUUGAUUUGGUGACUUGAAAUAGUUAAGGUAAUCUUGUCAUGUUGUAAGAUGUAAAAAUGUUACGAGUUACGACCUUAGCAUCAAGUACAUCUGGAAGCAGAAGUCUCGUGGAGUGGGUAACAAAGGAAUGUCUUAGGUUUGUUUCAACAUACUGAAUUCUCUGUGUCUACUUUGUAACCUCAUGAAAGUUUUUGUCUAUGGUGAAAUUUAUAGGGUUGAAGAAAAGUACAUAUGUUUGUGGGUGUCUGCACUAUUAUAUUAGACAGCGACCAAAGUCUUGGAGGCAAUCGUUUUGCUUGAAGGGCUCAUUAGUAGGUCUUGUAAGUUCAAACUUCUUCUUUGUGCUCGUUUAAGGAAGGGUAGAAAGAAUUGCAUUUAAGAUGAAUCAAUGAAUAUAGGGAAACAAUUUUUACAAUCAGCUAAUCUAGAAGCUUUCAACACAAUCCAAAGUUGCUAAUGUCACCUAAUGUUGGAAUGUUCCCAGUUUGACUCUCAGAAGCUUACAUAACCACGAGGUGGGAGUGUCCAAGAGAUAGAUAAGGAGAUAAUGGAGGCACGGAGAAUAUCCCCAUCUCUUUACUGUCUGCUCCGUCCCAAAACCCCAUCCAACUUGACGGCGUUAAUGGACAAGCAUCAGUCUGAGCCUGAGCCUGAGCCUGAGCCUGAGUUUCUUCCCUCUUCACAGCUUUAUGGCUGCUUAGGUGGCUUACAUCCUCCGUUACUUGUCUUUUCCUCUUUGCUUUCAAAGACACAGUCUUGUUAUUGUCUCCUAAGUCCUCGUGCUUUCCUGCUUCGAGUGGAAAGUUAAGAAUGGCUUUGCUUCCACGUAGUUUAAAAGCAGCCUUGUCAUAACCCCUUGCAGCUUCCAUGGCUGUGUCAAAAGUCCCUAACCAGACACGAACACCUUUCCUGUUUGGGUCUCUGAUCUCAGCCGCAUACUUGCCCCAAGGUCUUCGCCUCACGCCUCUGUAAUGCCUUUGAUCAUCCUCUUGAGCCACUGGUCCAGUAGUAGGAACUGCUAUAGUGGCAAGAGGUGGCUUGCGUUGGCUUAGAGUUGAGGUGGUGCAGUGGUGGAUGGUGGAGACAAAGGUCUCUAAGGAAGGGAAAUCGGUAAGAAGGUGUUGGGUUAUGAGAUCUAAAGCUGAUUGGUCUUGUUCUUGUUGUUGUUGAUUUGAAGAAGCCAUAGAUGAAUGAUAUAGGAGUCUUCUUCGUGUUUGUGUUUGUGAUUGUGGUUUUGAUUAUGGAUUUUGUUUUUUGAGAUUGGAGGUUAUAUAUAAAAGUGGGAGUGAGAGGUUUCGUGGUUAGCUUCUUGGGUUGGAGAGAGGAAGGAUCCUUUUCAAUUGUUUUGACUUGUUUAGUUCCAUUGUUGCUUUGGAGUGUGGCAAGUGGACUACUCUAGUCUCUAUAACUUAUUAUUUUAAGAUAAGGAACGAUUCGUGGCUCUGUCUUUUUCUUGUGAGGGUCCAUCAUCAAAGCUAGUGCCUACUUCCAGGCUUCUUCAUAUCCCAGACACAAAUUAAAAAGGGAUUUUUGUCAAUAGUGGCAUAAAAAAGAGUUUUAGUUUUUCGAAGUGCCAUUAUGAAAAACUCCUUUUGCAAAUAGGUCAUUGUUGUACGUUGUGGCACAUGUAAAAUACAUUCUUGUCCUUGUAGACAGCAAAAGAUAUGUGAGCCUUUAUACAAAGAGGGUUACGAUUUGCACAAGACUUCAUCUCUUUCUCUACUGCUCUCUUUUCCCUAGCCCACCAAAUUCUCUCUUGUUUCCACCACCAGCAGCUCUUGUCCUCCACUUUCAUUAUUCACGUCCAUUAGAUUUUCCUCUAAAUUUGUUUGUCUCUCAUUUUCUUCUUCUUAUGCUUUUUCGUCCACCAGUUUCUUAUACGGAUCCCAAUCCACAUGAUAUGUCCAUUGGUCAUAAUCAUAUGAUGGUUCCUCCUCUUUCUCUACUCCAACCUUAUAAUACUCAUAACUCCCAUUGUCGCCUCCCUAGUCCACCUUCUUCCCCUUGUCUACCAUAAUUGGUCCAUCUCCUUAAGUAUCUUCGUCUAAUUUCAUUAGUUUAGUCUACAGGAUAUGGCAAAAUGAUGUUUUUAGAGGACAAAUCUGGAUAAUCGAUGGACAACAAGAUUGAUAGAUCUAAGAACAAUUUCGGGACCAAAACAAACUGACAAACAAUUGCCAAUGAUCAAGAGUUACCUUUUGCUUGGAUCUGUAAAUCGUGGACGAAUAUUAUGUUUAGAGAAAGAGAUACAUAAAUUUGAAUUAAUUCCUUGGGUUACCAAUGCAACUCUGGCAGAAUUAAAUGCUCAGCCGAGCAGUCAAACCAUCGUUUCCAGCAGGCCAUAUGGAGGGCAUUUCCGUCUUUCUUUGUUGCAAAAAUGGCCUUCCCCAUAACAAGUUUUUUAAAUGGCGUUCCGAAAAAUGAAAGUCUAAAAGAUGGCAAAAUCGUUAAAAAUUUCAAUUAAAAAUGGUUUUAUUUUUUUUAAGAGAAAUAAAAGAAAAAUUGACACUUUUUUCGUACUUUUUGGGUAAAGGUAAGUUGACACAAAUAAAGUUGUAUUUUGGAAAAGGUUGAUGCACUAAUGUGUAUAUGUCCACAGUCCACUUGCCUAUGUUAGACACCAAAUUUAUGUCUCUAUGCAAGUCGUUUAUUUGGAAGGAUUAUCCCUCUGUUCUUAUAACCUCCUUCAUUUCUUCCUCGCUUGGAUCAUAAAAUGGCAUUUUGAACGAAUUUACCUUUGACACACUUACAAGACCCUAUGUAAAUACAUAAAUAACAGAAAGAUCAAAAUUUUCUAACCCUCUGUUGAUACCUCAGAGACUAGGUCGUGGAAAGAACCAGAUAACAAUAUAUUACAACAUUCCCUGUACAAAUGAAUAAAUGAUCAUCAAUAGGGUUUUAGUUUCUUUCCAUUAAUGUGAGAACCAUACGUCCACAAGACCAUAUCUUCAGAACGUAUUUUGAAAAAUGUCGUAAAAUCUCUUUGGAUUUAUUACAGUUAAACUUGAACUUGUAUUCACUAAGAAGACUUGAACUUGUUAUACAUGCAUUCAUCUUAUUAUUCUCCAGUUCGUCGAGAACCUUACAAGUCCACAAUACGAUCGUUAUACGUCUUUUUACUUUUAAGGAAGUUUAAAUGUCUUUAGGUGAAAAAUGAUGACGAAAUCUAUAUAAGACCUUAGAGAAAUCUAAAAAAAUAUAUCAAGGAAACAACUACGGGAGAAAACCUAUUAUUCAACCAAACUAAAAACAGUGGAAAGAUACUAUAACUACAAAGAUUCAACGACCUAUUAGUGUCCAAUGGAAGUUGGCAAAAUUCUUUGGGCAAUAUAUAUGUCUGUCAAUCCUCCUCAUUUGAUCUAGAUUUUGGGUGUGAGUUUGGCCCACACUAAUAUAGUACCAAAACCAAGGUCGAUUAUGGGCUAUCACAUGUGGAUGUCUAGUCUCAUAAAAUUGUCGCUUGAGAUGUACAAUCCUGAGUGUGAGGGCCGAGGAGGUGUAUUAAAGUCUCAUAUUGGAAGUUAGCAAAUUCCUUGGUCAAUAUAUAAGUAUGUGGCAAUCUUCCUUCUUUGAGCUAGCUUUUGGGUGUGAGUUAGGCUUACACUAAUACGACCUAAAAUAGAAGGAUAAGUAAAAACAAUCCUAAACCAAACAACAUCACUUAACAUGUACCUCUCCAAGAUAAAAAAGUGCAAACCCGUGACCCUAAACGAUCAAAUAGACCCCUAAAAAACUCGAAUACUCAACAAAGAAUCGGCCAUCUAGGGAGGCAUAACCAGCAAGAUAAUUAUGGCUGGAAACCGAGACUAGAUUCAUUCGCGGUCAAACCGCGCUAUCGAUCGAAGAAGAUCCGGCGAAUCCAAUCUUGCCUCCACCUAGUCUCAAACCAAUGAACCACCGUCUUCCAAAUGACCUAAAACAGCCUAAUCACACAAAAAAUAAUCCGUAGAACCGACAACCAAAUCACCACGAUCGCAUUACCAUUCGGGUUUGGCAGACGCCUCAAGUUUAAUCCUCGAUCUUAAUUCUUAAAUCUGAAACCUCACCUCUAUAAGUCGGAACCACCAUCUUCUAAAUUUAAUAACCCUAACAUACCUCUCACGUCACCGGUAAAAAAAAGGCCGGUGAUCAGAGAAACAAAGAUCCAAAUAAAGAGAUUAAAAAAUUGAAAAUAAAAAAAGGCCGCGUUUCACUUAAAAAACCCUAAGUGCUCCUUCUUCGCUUUCCUCUGUUUUUCCUCGGAUUUAAAACUCAAAAUUCGUAAUUCUCCAUAUCACUGAACGCUUCCAAUUCAUCAUCCUCGUACGCUCCCAAAUUGCCUUUCCUCUUCGCUUCCAGAUUCUCCUCUUCCGGUCGCCGCCGGAGACCUAGUAUCUCAUCUGCUACGUAUAAUGGUGUCGCCGAAAGAGUUAGUGGCCAUAGUACACUCUUCACUGCUCGGAACGUCACUGCCAACUCCAACGCAGCGUAUCGAACUCACUCAUGCCAUUCGCAACUCAUUUUCCUCUAUUCAGAACCUCCUCUCUUUCCCGGUACUUGCUCGAUUUCCUUUCUACUCGAUGAUACGUCCUUGUGUUUUCUGGGUAUAGUAACCAAAUCUUUUUUUUCUAAUCUCUGGCAGCCUCCGAAGCCGUCGGACAGAGCGCAAGUUCAGUCCAAAGAAAUUCGACUCCCGGAUUCGCUGCCAAUAUCUUUGGAUGACCAAGAUGUCGCUAUUGUAAGUGUUUCUUUCGACUUCUAGAUGACAUUCUUGGUCUUGUGGAGGUUUAGAUUUUAGAAUUUAGAUAUGAAAACAAUUGACACCGAUUAAAGCAAGUUUUGCUUCAAUUUUGCGGAUGGAUUGAAUAAAAUGGUUGUCUAAGUAGAUGUCUAACAAGGCAGAAUUUCGCUGUUUCCUUUACCAUGUUGAAUGAACUUUUAGAAUGUGCUUGGUUGCUGCUCAUUUCCGAUGUAUGAGCUUCUUUUCAUAGGGAUUGUGGUUUGUCCUGAUGAUUUGUUAAAUCUACCAUUUGACACACAUUACCACCUUUAAGCUUCUGUUUAAUUUGAAAUAUGUGCAAUGAUAUAUUUGGUUGAUAUCUUACUGCUUCAGAAAAAAGGUGCCUUUAACAACUCUAACGGCCUAUGUUCUUCAUAUAUUGUUAUUGAUUGUAGAGCUUGAAACUGAGUGAUGAGCUUCACCUAAAUGAGAUAGAUUCUGUUCGUCUGCUUGUAUCUGCAAAUCAGGAGGUGCGAUUCCCUUCGCUUUGCUUCUACUCUCAUCUCUUAGCUUCUAAAGCUCUGGAGUUAUUUUCUGCGAUAUGUUCUUAUAUUUUAUCCUCUGUUUAGUGGGGCUUAAUGGGACGGGACCCUCUUGAGAUUCAACGGCUUGCAACUGGACUAUGGUAUACAGGGAGAAGAGAUCUUACGUCAACUCUAUACACACUCCUGAGGGUAGCUUACUCUCUCAUUAUAUUUCUGGGUUUUUUUUUUGUUCUUCUAGUGUUCUUAACGUCAUCGCACAUUACCAUUUUUCUGGUUGAAUAGGCAGUUGUUCUGGACCAGGGGCUUGAACCUGAUCUUAUAGCUGACAUUCAGGGACUCUUAGAAGAACUUAUUAAAGCUGGGCUCAGACAACGGUUGAUUACUCUUGUAAAGGUAUUAACCACUUGGGUUCUUUUAAGUUACAUUUUCAUAGGUGUCAAAUAUACGUAACUUGAAUAACUUCCUACUUUUCUGCUUGAAUUUCUUCUGAAGCACUCAUCUUAUUGACAAUCAUUCUCAUUAAUGCAAAGACUAUUCUCUUGUUCGUUGUCAUAUCUGUCUAGCUACACCAUUUCAAUCUACUUUUCCAUUUGUUUCUCAUGAUCGUAGAGAAUAAACAAUCUUUCUCCAAUUAGUUAAUUGAAUCCUAUUUUUAAAUGUGUAACUGUUACUUAUUGGGCAACCAUAAGGUAUUGAGACCAUUACAAAUUUUGUCCACAUCAGGAAAAUUAUUGUUUGCUGUUUUCGUCCGCUCUAAUAUGUCAUUGUUGUCAAUGCUGCCUGAUACCUUUUAAAGUUGUCAACUACACGAGCUUCAUAGUUCAAGACACUUGGGGUAAUGCACUUCCUAUGUAAUAAUCAUCUUUGAGAUUUGUUUUUAGUUGUCAAUAUUAUCUUUAAAUUCAAAGACAGUUGCAGUACAUUUAUUUUACCAUUUGUUAUUAACUUCUCACUUUGCAUUAACAUCAACAUGAGUUCAAGCUAACUCUUAAAAUAUUCAGAUCUAACUUGCUUUGGAUUCAAGUGUUCACAUAAAUGAGUCAAUAUAUUUUAAAGAUUUACUUUCGAAACUUCAAAAAUCCAAUGAUUGUCCCCUAUGUCCAUUGUCUUCAUAGCUGAACAUUUGCAGCCAAAGCAUUCUUUAAUCUAGUAGGAAAUAUUAGAUGUAAAAGUCCUUUCAGACGAUCUUGUGACUUGAUAUUUUUUGUUCUUUGGCAUUAUUAUGUAAUUAUUGUCAUGAUAGCAAAUUCUUUGUUGCUAGGAACUCAAUCGGCAGGAUCCUACUGGAUUGGGUGGGCCCUUAUGCGAGCGAUACCUUAUUGACUCAAGAGGUGCUCUUGUUGAACGAAGAGCUGUUGUUCAGAGGGAAAGACUGAUACUGGGACAUUGCCUUGUUCUUUCAAUUUUGGUUGAUAGACCUGGUAAGCUCGUUCAUUUCUUAUAAAGCUUUUGUGCGAAGAUUAAGAAUGCUACUUGUUAAAGAAAUUCAGCUGUUGGAUUCAGUGCUUUUCGUUAAUGGUUUGACUUUUCCAUUAAAAGAUACAGCAUUAGUUCUAUUGUGUCCCAUAGUAAGUGAAACUAUUGAUAAUUGGGUUUCACGUUUGAUAGGACACUAUAUAUGCUAGACUAGUUAGAUCAUUGGUCAAUGUGCUAUGAGAUAUAUUGUGUUUUCAUAUAUAUUAUUGCUAUGUCUGUGUAAUUAUGCUGAAGUUGAGUAUCAUAUGUGAUUAUGGUGUUUGGUAUUCGUACUCCAUUGUUCUGAUCUUAUUUAUCAAAAAUUUGAAAAUUUUGAUUACUAUUUAAUAUUAAGUUUUUUUUUUUUAUUUAUAGUAUUAAAACACUCUUGUGAUUGUAUAUCUUUUGUUAUUUCUCGAAGGAUAUUUUCUAUUUCAAUUUCAUUCUUCUAACAAGUUUGUUUAUUGCAGGUUCGAAAGAUGUGAAGGAUAUAUACUACGUUUUUAAAGAUAAUGCAGCUCAAUUAACUGAAGGAAAUGACACCAUAAGUUCUCAGGUUCAUGCUAGUCCUGUUCAUGACGUAGAGGCUUUUGAAGUUUUCUUUCUUCCCUGCGUAUUAAAUUUAAAAUGUGUUAAUUUCUGAUAAAUGACUAUUUUCUUUGUUGCAGAUUACUUUUAGUCUUUUGUUUUCUCUCAUCAUCACCUUCGUAUCAGAUGCAAUCAGUGGACUAUCUGAUAAGUCAUCUAUGAUAUCUCAAGAUGCUUCGUUUAGGACAGACUUUCAGGAUAUUGUAAGACUAGUUGAUACAUUUUUCUUUCGCUUCUUCUCCCUGUCACCAAAGACCUUCCACUGCUGACACUUGAAAACACACCUAAUCACCUUUCAGGUUAUGGCUUCUGGCAGUGACCCCACUGCUGAUGGCUUCAUUGGUGGCAUAAGGCUUGCCUGGGCUGUACAUUUAAUGCUGAUACAUGAUGGAAUAUCUGGAAUGGAUACGAUUUCCACUGCUUCAACAAAAGAUAUGGGGCACAUAUGCUCCUGCCUGGAGUCCAUCUUCUCAAAAAAUGUGUUUCAAUUUUUGCUGGAUAAUGUUCUUCGAACUGCAGCCUACCAGGUACUUUCAUUAUGAACAUCAUCAUGAAUUCUAUGUGCUCAGUUAUUGUCCAUCAAAUGCGGGGUGCCUAUCUGGAUUCCCUGUGCACUUGAUUUCAUUUGACGAGCUAGUGGAAGAUUUACUUUGAUUUCCCAGCUAGUGGAUGACAUGUUUGGCUCCUUAAACUUUUAUAUUGAAUGAGCUAUUAUGCAUGGUUCAUGACUGUAUCAGAAAAAGAGCUAUUUUCUAAUGGUGCCUAUGGUGUUUAUAUUUUUCCUUCAUGACAGCUGUAGUGUAUAUUGUCUGUUUUAUGGUAAUGGUUAUAUGUGUUGGCCUGUAUGGAUACCGUUUUAAUCCUUCAUGAAUUCAAUUUUUACUUGAUUAGUCAUUCCCAAAUGUAAGAGUGUUCCUAUUUCUUUAUGCUGAUUUUUCUGCUUCUAAUCACAUUAUAUAUAUCUACUAAUGAUUUCAUUAUUUGAGAUAUGACUUUAUUAUAUUGGUGUUUGACGGGCUCCUCUUUGGAUGCUGUAUUCAUUCUUGUUUAGUCUCUAGGUUUUGCUUGUUAAGUCAGAUCUCAAUUUCAAGUCUCUUUCCAGUUUUAUUCUGUGAGCUUUGAUUUCCCUGACUCAACCCACGUUCCCCCUUGUGUUGGUCUAUCAAUGGUUGACCUUUUGUUAGUUGCUACAUGCAGAAUGAUGAAGAGGACAUGAUCUACAUAUAUAAUGCUUAUCUGCACAAGUUAGCCUCUUGUUUUUUAUCUCACCCGAUCGCAAGAGAUAAGGUUUGUUAAAUAUAUAGAUUAAUGUAUAUCUACUUAGUAUUUGUGUAUUGAUUAUAUGUUGGUGAUCAAAGUUUGAACGCUGCAACUUUAUCAUGUAAAGCUUGUAAUUUUUUCUCCUUACUUCAUGGUCUGAUAAUUAUGAUGAAAAUUGGUAGUAUCUGCUUUCCAUUUAGAGGGAGUAACCUUUUGAUGUAUCAGUCACAGAUUCUGAGUAUUUCAGCUGGAUCACUUAGGGGAUAUGAGUAGCAUAUAAACUUCAUUAAUGGCUGCACCUUAGAUCAUUGCUAUUUUUUCUGAUGGUUUGAUAGUGUCUGAUAAGUUGAAUGUAUGAGCCAAGAUGAGAAAUACAAUAUCGUAUCUACAUGUUUAUCUCCUGUGUCAAGCCUGACAUCAUUAUUUUGCAGGUGAAGGAAUCAAAGGACAUGGCUAUGAGUGUUCUAAAUUCUUACCGAACUUGUGAUUCGCUUGAUGGAAGUAUGCAGACUGAAGAGGCUGACAGGCCGCUGCCCUUCAUUUCUCUUAUGGAGUUUGUAAGCAAAAUUUAUCAGGUUGAGAACGACUACCAUAUGGAAGCAGUUAUUAUCUUUGUUUUUUUUUUGUUAAUUUUUCUCAAAUGUUGGAAAAUGAGUUUGCCUGGUAUCUUGAAGUUGAGCUCUGUUCAUAUGUUUUUUGGUAGCUUAUUUUGUUUUUCAUAGCACAGUGAGCAUUCAGAAUACAUCUCGAUCAUAUCUCAUUUUUCAUACCAUAUUCCUGUUUUUGUGUCUUUUGAUAUUUACAACCUUUUACAGAAGGAACCUGAGCUACUCUCCGGGAAUGAUGUCUUGUGGACAUUUGUGAAUUUUGCUGGAGAGGACCACACAAAUUUUAAAACUCUUGUGGCUUUCUUGGAAAUGCUGUGUACCUUGGUAUGAGAAAUCUUUAUAUUGGUAUUUUGGUGGGACAUCAUUUACUUGGUUACUCAUUGAGUUUCCUUGCUGUCAUCUUUAUUUGAUUUCAGGCUUCCACUCAGGAAGGUGCUUCUAAAGUUUAUGAGUUGCUCCGGGGUACAUCAUUCCGCAGUAUAGGAUGGCCCACUUUGUUUGAUUGUAUAAGAAUUUACGAUGAGAAGUUCAAGCAGUCUCUUCAAACUGCUGGAGCCAUGAUGCCAGAGUUCCUGGAGGGCGAUGCAAAAGCACUUGUCGCAUAUCUGAAUGUACUUCAGAAGGUUAUAUAACUCUAUUCCAAAUAUAUUCUGUUUCAACUUCCAUUCCACGUUUAAUAGUCUUAUAUGGUGCUUUUUAUCUAAGACAAGUUCAGCUUGUAUUCCUAGGACAAGUUCAGCUUGUAUUCCUAGGAACUGGGCUUAACUGCGAUUUGGUUCUAGUUGUUUACCUAAAUGCUUUCUCCGGGGUUAUGGAGAAGAGCCAUAUAAUUUUUCGCUAUGAGUUCCUAGGAGGGGAAUUUGUUUUUUAAAUGUCCUUGCAAAUGAUUCGUUCUCUGUGAAACUGAUGUUUGAACUUAAGAUAUUUUUUUUAUGGUCAAUAAGUUUAUUUUUCAUAUUCUGCAGGUUGUUGAGAAUGGUAAUCCCACUGAGAGGAAAAACUGGUUUCCUGAUAUCGAACCAUUUUUUAAGCUUCUUGGUUAUGAAAACAUCCCUCCAUAUCUGAAGGUCAGUGGUGUACUGGAGAUUCUUCCCCUUACACGUUGGACUCGCAAAUGAUAUGUGGAAAGCAUCUGGAAUCGGUAUCUAUAUAACUUGUGUUCAUUGUAACUUUAUUUUCUGCAGGGUGCUCUUAGAAAGACCAUUGCUGCCUUUGUUAAUGUCUUUCCAGAAAUGAGGGACUCUAUCUGGGCUUUUCUUGAGCAGUAUGAUCUGCCUGUUGUUGUGGGAUCACCAGUUGGAAAGAGUGACCAAUCUUCUCAGGUAAGUGCAUGGCUUCGAGGGAUAGUUAUUAGCAGAUUUUUUAACUCUACUUCUUUAGUUAAUAUUUCUCUUAUUAUUGAGAAUUUAUUAAAAUUUAUGCUUCUGCAUUUAUUUUCUAAACAUCUUAUACUUAUGCGUUAAAAGUGGGGUUGUCAUGUUGCAUAGACGAUUGAUAUCAUUUUUUGUUAUGUAAAUUUGAUGUUGGUAACACAAAAAAUAUUAAUAUUUGUCUAAUUCCUGCAUGUGAUGAAAGUUUUAGUUUCAUUUAUUUUACAUAAUACUCACAUAAUGCACUGUGCCAUGUUCAGUGCAGCUAAAACUUGGAAUAUCACGUGUUGUUUGAUGCUGCUUUUGCUUUUCCAGGUGGAGAGAAUCUUCAGCGUAUCGUCAAAACCUAAUCUCACAAUUCGCUUAUAUGCAGGUCUAUGAUAUGCAAUUUGAGUUAAAUGAAGUGGAAGCAAGGAGAGAACAGUAUCCUUCAACAAUAUCGUUCCUUAAUCUUAUAAACGCUCUGAUUGCUGGGGAGAAAGAUGUGAAUGAUCGUGGGCGUAGGUAGUAGUAGCCUUAGAUUGUUGUCUCUUUCCAUGAAGCUUAGUCUUCGUUUUUCUUGGUCUAAUGUUUAUAUGUAUAUUUUUGUAGAUUUAUUGGCAUCUUCAGGUUUGUGUAUGAUCAUGUAUUCACCCCUUUUCCUCAGAGGGCAUAUUCUGAUCCUUGUGAGAAGUGGCAAUUGGUUGUGGCAUGCCUUCAACAUUUUCACAUGUAAGCUCCUGCUUCUGUUUUCAAUAAUUUCCUUGCUCGGUCCAAAAUAAACUCUGAUUUUUAGCAGAAACAUAGUGUUCCUACCUUUUGUAAACUCCACCACUUUUCAUUUAGGGCACUAUUUGUGUUGAAGACUGGUUUAACAUUUUUCUGUAUUUCACUUCAGGAUCUUAAGCAUGUAUGAUAUUCAGGAGGAGGAUCUCGAUGGAUUUACUGAGCAUCCACAUUUUUUGGUGUCAGUUGAAACAUCUUCACUGCAAACGCAGCUACCAAUUAUAGAAUUACUAAAAGUACUAUCUUAAUUUGUUGCUUUAUUUUUCUUGUUCCACAUUGGACUCAUCUCCAAGUAGACAUGCAGUAUACAGUAUAUAAUUUGUUCCACGUUUUUCUUUUGUAGGAUUUCAUGAGUGGGAAAGCUCUCUACAGGAACCUCAUGGGUAUCCUUCAGGUUGGGGUCAAUGCCAUCAUCAGCGAGCGAUUGAGUAAAACUUAUGGGAAGAUCUUAGAAAAGGCAGUACAACUUUCUUUGGAAAUCUUACUGCUCGUCUUUGAGAAGGAUUUGCUUGUUUCCGAUGUUUGGCGUCCGCUGUACCAGGUACCUGGUUGUUCGUUUGAUGCAUUUGAGCUUUAUUUUGUAUAUCACCCAGUCAUUCAAACUCCUAAAUAUGUGGUGAAGAUUGUUAUAUGUGAGAAUGCAGUAAUAUAAGUAUUUUUUCGAAAGAGUAUUCAUAGGUUUACCUGGAUGCACUGUCAGAGCUUUCUAGGACAGUAGGAAGUUUGCACCAAUCGUUACCAAGUUUAGCUAUUUCAUCAAUCUAUACAUCCAAUGCCAUACUAGAAAGUGUAUUAUAGUAAUUGCACAAGAUUUUUGUCAAAUUUAAAUAUUCCUGUCUCAAAUUAGAUCCACAUUCUAUUUUUCUAAUCCACAAUGAAUGUAAGUUCUAGUGCACCAUUCGAAUUAGGUUACUAACUUAAAGUCAAAAGAUGAAGUGUAGGAAGCUUAGGGGAAUUGCUUUUAUUGUUGUCAAUCAUAAGCUACUUGACUAAUAGCAAUAUAUAUUAUUCCUCCUCCAACCUUUAGUUAAGUUAGUUUAUUUUGACCAUUAUUGGGUUGGUGGUGUAAAAUGUGAAACGGGACUCUAUUGUUAAUUUGGGAAUUGCUGGGAAACUUUUGGUAUUUUUGCGCCCCACCAGCUAUAGCUUGAACAACAAUUAUUUUCAUAAAGCACAAUCAGCAUGCCUUCCCUAAUUUUAUGUUAAGGCACAAGAUGGUCAAUAAUAUUAUCUUUUGUUAUUGCUGCAGCCUUUGGAUAUAAUUCUCUCACAAGAUCAUAAUCAAAUUAUAGCCUUGCUGGAGUAUGUCAGAUAUGAUUCUCUUCCUCAGAUUCAGCGAUCUUCAAUCAAAAUCAUGAACAUUUUAAGGUGGUAACAAAUUUCGUUUGAGACAUCUCUGUAGUUUGGUUUAACCACAUAACUUUUUUUCUUAGAUAGCAUUAGCAAAUACCAUUAUCAACUACUUUCAGAUCCUCAGACUUUUGGAUGUUUGAUUCCUUAGCUUUGUAUAAUUAGUUUAACCUUAUGUUUUGAUAUGAAUUACACGGGUUUUAUUAAUCAUAUGCUCGAUGACAGUUCUCGCUUGGUUGGACUUGUUCCAAUGCUGAUCAAAAUUGAUGCUGCGAAUUCCUUGAUCGAGGAUUAUGCGGCCUGCCUUGAGGUACGACUUGAAGAGGGUGAAGUUGUAGAGAACAGUUGUGAUGAUCUGGGGGUCCUUAUUAUGCAGGUUAGUUUCAGUAGUUGACUGUUACACUUAAUAGAAUAUCACACUAUGUGCACUAUGGCUUGGGUCUUAUCUACUUUCUUUCAUCAUGAUUGAUUCAUUCGUACAUAUCAUAUCAUCUCAAUGGUAUGACUUUCACAUUUGUAGCUUCUGGUUGACAAUAUCAACCGGCCUGCACCAAGUAUCACACAUUUGCUUCUGAAGUUUGACCUUGACGCCCCUGUGGAAGGGACAGUUUUGCAGCCUAAGUUUCACUACAGGUUUGAUUGUAAUUUGUAUACAGAAUAAUAUGUAUUUCAACCAUGAUCUCAUUUUGUUUUGCAAUCUGCAGUUGUCUGAAGGUCAUUCUUGAAAUGUUGGAGAAGCUUCCAAACCCCGAUAUAAACUUCUUACUCUUUGAGUUUGGCUUCCAGGUGGGAUAUACUAAUGCCGGAUGAUAACUAUCUGGUCUUUUCAAAGAAGUGAAAUUCUAUUUGGUCUAUUGUUUUUUGUACACUUAACUUUUACUUUUUGCAGCUUUUGUGUGAGUUGAAUUUGGAUCCGUUAACUAGUGGUCCAACCAUGGAUCUCUUGAGCAGCAAGAAAUAUCAGUUUUUUCUCCAGGUACACCAGAUUUUGCUUCUCCUUAUACCAAAAUAAUGCCAUCUUUUCCUUGAGGGCUGCCUCAUCCAAGUCACAAAUAACAACUUAUAUUUUACUCGUCCUUACUUUCUUAUUAUACUUUGAUGUUGCAGCACCUCGAUACCAUUGGUGUUGCCACUCUUCCAAAAAGAAGUGGCAGCCAGGCACUCCGUAUUAGUUCCCUUCAUCAGGUAUAUUAUAUAUUCUUUAAUUUCAGUGUCAAGUGUAUCCGACUCUGAUUAGUUUCAUGACAGAAUCUAAGCGGUUUUACUCUCUGCUAUCAACUAUUUUUGUUUAUAACAUUUUUUCCCGAAAUGUUAACUGCCUAUAUGCAAUACUGUUAGAUUUACAGUGAGUAAAAAAAAAACAUUUUUUUUUUUUUUUUUUUUCAUACAAAAAAAAAUAUAUAUAUAUUUUUUUUUGUGAUAGAAUGUCCCUAGGCUGUUUUUGUAUCUAAUACUCUCUGUUUCUGUUUUUUUCUAUUCCAUCAUGCGUAAAUUUUUUCACUCAGCAGAUACAGUAAUUUUUUCUUCCGUUCUUGUUUUCCUGCUACGCUCGACUCAUGUGCAAAAUGAUAUCUGCCUAAAUGCAAUAUUUCUUUUUGCUGGUUCUCAGUCAACGAAAAAGCGAUAAUCUGCAUUUAUGCACUACUUCUUUUUAUUGUGAUACCUUAGAAUUCAUGUAGGUAGUAAUUUUCUUGCUAUGUCUUCCAUAAGCAAAUUUAUGUGGAUAGUUACUUUUUUGCUAAGCUGUCAAGUCUUAUUUGGUUUCUGCUCCCUGUCAUUGUGGAGAGAAUACAAUAGUGGCACUUUUUUCUCUCUUGUUUCUUUAGUAAUAGUUUUUGUUAUCUAAACGUGUUCCUUAAACAGAUCAAAUGACAUGAUCAAUAAUCUAUUACAAUGCUACAUAGUCCUUUUUGCUGUUGAUAACAUUUCUCAUUUUCUCAAUAUCUACCUUUCCCAGAGGGCGUGGCUAUUAAAGCUCCUAGCUAUUGCACUGCAUACUGGUUCUGGAAGCAGUUCAGCUCACCUAGAGGCAUGUCAGAGCAUACUUUCUCAUCUUUUUGGGCGGGAGGUAACUGAAGCAGCGAAUGAACCUUUUUCUUCCAGUACAUAUCCUCAGGAUGGUCUUGAUUAUACUGGAACGAGUUCAAUCAGUAAAAGUAAGGUGAGUUUGGAAACACCUGCGUUUUAUGCUCUACUAUGCUUUAUGGCACAUCCUAGUUUUAUCCCUACUGCCGGUGUUCUGCAUGUGUAGCAUUGGUCUAAGAUUCUACCAUUUUAUAGUUGAGGCCAUCCAUGCAUGAUACAAAUAACUGUACUGACCCCACUCUUUCUGAAGUCACCAGCAUGUUGCCUUGCUGAUGUGCAGUUGUGCACCAUCUCUUAACAGUUUAACAUUCAUUGAAAAGCAGUAUUUAAAAUAUUAAGAUGUCUCCUUUUUUCCAUGCAACAGCAUUUUCCUUCACUGUAAAUCUAACAAUGUUGCGCUUGUCAUCAUUUCUUGCCUAGUUUUAAGUCGUUUUAUGGGUGCUGCUGUCUGACUUUUGUUUCUUCUUUGGAUUGAGUUCAGGCAUUGGCUUUGCUUGAAAUUCUUCAGUUUAGAUCUCCUGAUACUUCGAUGCAGCUUCCUCAAAUUGUGUCCAGCCUAAAGUAUGACUCACUGGUAAGGCUUGGGGAAUAUGGAGGUGUGUUUGCGUUAAGUAUAUUGCUCUAAAUAUGGAGUUUAAAAUUUCAGGUGGAGGACAUACUUGAGAACCGUGAUAACUCUGUUAGUGGCAGUAUCUACUACUAUUCUGAGCGUGGUGAUCGGCUAAUUGAUCUAUCUUCCUUCAGCAACAAACUCUGGCAGGUUAGUUCUUGUUAUAAUGGACAUCAGAUCUUCUCUCUAAUGAACAUUAAUGUUUCUCCUGUAAUGAAUAUUUAUGCUGAUUCUAUUGUUUGUUCAGAAGCUACAUUCUGGAUUUCCCCUAGUGGAUAGUUUUCCAAAUGUUGCUGAGCUUAGUGAAGUUAGAGAGACAAUUCAACAGCUGUUGAAAUGGGGCUGGAAGUAUAAUCGAAACCUUGAGGAGCAAGCUGCCCAACUUCAUAUGUUAGCUGGCUGGUCUCAGAUUGUUGAGGUUGAUUUUUUUCUUAAAAAAUCAGAUCACCUUUAGUAUCAUUAGCGUGUGCCACUCUUUUAAGAUAUCAAGUAUUUAUCUUUUGUGUUGUGCUUCGUAUGUUUUUGUUUUAGGUGUCUGCUUGCAGGAGAAUAUCUUCUCUUGAUAAUCGGUCUGAAAUUUUGUACCGGUGAGUACCUUUUGUAUCAGAGGUUAGUUGCUUGCGGAAGCUUUCUUGAACAUUGCAUGACUUGUUCUUCUCUGGUCGUUGGCAGGAUACUUGAUGCCUCUCUUAGUGCCUCCGCGUCUCCAGAUUGUUCAUUAAAAAUGGCGUUCGUACUUACUCAGGUGCAUUUUAGCUGUUGAGUAACUUUUAUUGUAAAAUGUGCUGUCUAUGUACUAACUUUAGGUUUUAAUAGGUUGCCCUUACCUGCAUUGCCAAACUUCGUGAUGAUAGAUUUUCAUUUCAAGGGGCCUUGAGUUCUGACACCGUGACAUGUCUAGAUGUUAUGAUGGUCAAACAUUUAUCCACUGGUGCUUGCCACUCAGUUCUAUUUAAACUUGUUAUGGCAAUUCUAAGGCAUGAGUCAUCAGAAUCUUUGAGAAGGCGGUACAGUACUAAGUUCCCUUAGUUGUCUUUUUACUUUCUUAUAAUACAACAUAAAGUCAUAUUCUGCCCAGCUUAUCUAAUUUCGGCUUUUCCCCGUUUCUAACACAUUUGCCUUUCUUCAUCAGCCAAUAUGCAUUGCUCUUGAGCUAUUUCCAGUACUGCCAGCAUAUGAUUGCUCUGGAUGUGCCAACAUCAGUUGUGCAGUUCUUGUUACUUAAUGAGCAAGACGGUGAAGAUUUGGAUAUCCAGAAGGCAUGUGUUUGCUGAUUAACCCGAGACUUAUUUUGUUCGGACGAUAAUUUAAUGUUUUUUUUUCUUGUCUUUCAGAUUGACAAGGAGCAGGCUGACCUUGCUCGUGCCAACUUUUUUAUAAUAAAGAAAGAAGCUCAGGGCAUCUUGGAUCUGGUAAUUGUUACUUCUUUAUUGAUAUGAGCCAUAUUCAUUUGCACUGUUUCACAUUGAGAGUACUGAUUCCAGGUAAUCAAGGAUGCAAGUCAAGGCAGUGAGUUUGGGAAAACAAUAUCACUUUAUGUGCUGGAAGCUCUUGUUUGUAUUGAUCACGAGAGAUAUUUUCUUAGUCAGCUCCAGAGCCGAGGUUUCAUACGGUCUUGCCUUGGAAGCAUUAGUAAUAUCUCCUACCAGGUAAUAUCCCUGUGAACUUCUGAGUGUGGUCAUUGCUAUGAAUAUUGUAGAAGUUUUUAGUAGCCCAUUGCUAUGAAAUCUCUUGUUGCAACUUGUUUAACUAGUGGUAAUUAAUUAAUUUGGGUUUGACUGAUAAACUGCAAAAAUAGAUUAAAUUGUAUUUGAGUCAAUAAUACCCUUUCAGUGCGUAGGAGUUCAUACAUGCAAAUUCAAGCUCACAGUUAUUUAUAUAUGCAAGAUCGUCAAAAUAGGAUCGCAAACCUGUUAAAUCUUCUUUAAGAGUGGCAUAAUGUGGCCAGUUAGCUGUUGGUUUGACUUUUUGAUCCACAUUAAAAGACUCGACACCCUAUGUAACUCGUGUGUGUUUUAUGUCCCAUUUACAUAGGAGGUAUCGGCGAUCUUAAUCUUCAUAUGCUGCUAGUUUACAUACUUUGGAGACCUGAUUUAUAUGUGGGUAUUUUUAUUUUCGAGGACUUGUCAUUCAUGCAUGUGCAUUUAUCAUAUUAUUGGGCCCAGGAUGGAACACAUUUGCUGGAGUCACAACAGCGAGCAUGUACCUUAGAAGCAGAAUUUGCAUUGCUACUUAGAAUUAGUCACAAGUACGGAAAGUCUGGAGGCCAGGUUCUGUUCUCCAUGGGUGCGCUGGAACAUAUCGCUUCAUGUAGAGCUAUCAGCUUUAAGGUAAUAUAUUUAUCUGUAGUUAUCAGGUUUUCGAUAUGUGACCUCAAUUUUGCCUCUGCUUUUAAUCCCAAAAGUGCCUUCCAGGGAAAUAUGAGACGGGUGGAUAUGAAACUUCAGAGUGAUGUAGGAUAUAAUGUGCAAAAGCAACGAACAAUAAUCACUGCUGUCCUAAGACUGAUGUUUGCUCUAACCUCAUUGGUUGAGACCUCUGAAUUUUUCGAGGUCAGCCGCGUUUCCCAGAUGACCUUUUCUUUUAUGAUCUUUUGCAUUGCUAAUUCAAUACUCCCUUCCAUAUGUAUUGGCCUGGUUUAGUGAGCAUGAUUUGCCAUUUAAACACUAUUUUCCAGAUCGUUUAGGGCCUUUCUAAGACUGCAAUUUCUAUAUUCUUACUUGUGAUUUAUUUGGGGACUUGUGUGGGAGUAAUACAGACCUUCUAAAAUUGAAUGACAGACACCGAGUUCAGUUUGUUUGAGAUAUGAAAUUAGUAUUGUUUGCAUCUUGUAGAAACUUGAAUGAUGCACUGAUUUUCUAUUGCUAUUGUUUACAUCUUUUAUGCCUCUAACAAGUAGAAGUAGGAAAUAGGUGAGUGUCUUCAAACGUUUCACCUUAUACAAGUACAAUCACUUGAUGACAUUUGCAGUAUAGUUUGCAAGACAUAACAAUCUAAUACUGAGAUGCAGAAAAUUUUAGGACAGUUAGUAUUGUUCUUGUUAGUUUUUUUAGGUAUGAUCUUGAUUUCUUUUUCACCUAUUCUUUUCCUAUUCAACUAAUUAUGCAAGUCAUUGUUGUUGAUUAUUCUGGGUAACUGGUUUUCUUGGUAUGCGAACUAUAAUGAUUUUCUUUCUUCUUUCUCUACCUGGGCGUUUGAUAGGGGAGGAAUAAAAUUGUUCGUGAAGUCAUUGAGUUUAUCAAAGGACAUCAAUUUCUUUUUGACCAACUUCUUCGGGAAGACUUUACUCAAGCAGAUGAUUUAUUGAUGGAGCAAAUUAUUCUUGCAGUGGGAAUAUUGAGCAAGGUAAUUCUUUGGCGAGCUAUAAGUUCUUAAUUUUUUUCUUCUUAAAGGGCAUUUGCUUCUCUUUUUGUGAUUGCAUCUUCAAGAGGGCUCAAAAAAUCCCACAAGCUAGUUAUAGAUGCGUUUUCUAGAAAGUGAGUUUGCUUGUUUUGUAGGUCUGGCCUUUUGAAGAGAACGAUGGAUAUGGAUUUGUUCAAGGGCUUUUUGAUAUGAUGAGCAACCUUUUCAUCGUCUCCCCCAUAAAAUUGAUAUCAUCGCAGGUAGGACAAGUAGUUCAGGUACAUGUUUGAGUAUCAGUAUAUAUUUUUUUGGCACCUUGUCAUCCAAUCCUUGAAUUCUUAUAUUCGAUGGGUUUCUCUUUUUUGUUUGUCAUCUGGUGGACAGAAGGGGUCAGAGCUCAAAUUGUCUCAGUUGCGAUUCAGCUUGACUUCUUACUUAUAUUUUCUGGUGACCAAAAACUCUCUGAGGUUGCAGGUACUUUUGUAGUUAUUUCCCUCGAUUUCUUCUGUCCACGUUUUCAUUAUUCAGUUGUUUGAAUGAACUACAAGUAAAUACUCAUGCCCCUUGUCCCCACACCCACCCCUCCUCCCAGGUUUCCGAUGAUUCUCUUGAUAGUUCCACUAAACUACGCCAACCAACGUUACUGUUGCUUGCAUCUCUUCUUUCGCAUGUGACUGAUUCCCUCGAGAGAGCAGCAGAGAAAAAGUCCUUACUUCUUCAUAAGGUAUAUUAUAUCCUAAUUCCUACUCUUUAUAUGUUUCAAACUCCUUUUAUAUAUAUAUAUAUAUAUAUAUAUAUAUAUAUAUUCGAAGUUGCAUGUAUGAUUGGCAGAUUAGAGACAUAAACGAGCUCUCAAGACAAGAUGUAGAUGCGAUCAUCAAGAUAUGUGAUUGCCAAGAAUAUGUCACACCGUCCGACAACAUACAUAAAAGGUUAGUGAAUUCCUUUCUUCGGCUUGCUCAUGCGUGCAUAUGCUAAAGCAGAAAUGGGUUAUUAACAUAGAAUUUUUCCAGCUUUUUCCUAUCAGUGAUUAGUAAGACGUUUGACAACUGUUUAUAUUUGUUUGUGGCUUGUUACUUACCUCAGGAGAUACAUAGCUAUGGUUGAAAUGUGCCAAAUCGUGGGUAACAGGGACCAGUUAAUCACCUUGUUACUACAACUUGCCGAGCAUGUACUAAAUAUUAUCCUGAUCCAUCUCCAAGAUAGGUAUGCCACUUUAUCUUCAACAAUUAAUAUCUUAAAUGUUGUUAAGUGAAUAUAUUUUGGAAAUCUACGAUGGUCAUACGGUUUGCUCUAGGGUAAUAUGCUAAACACUUGACAUCUGCAGAUCCGUUAGUUCAAAUGAAAGGGGAUCAUAUGGUUCAAAAUCCCAUCUACAACAGGAUGUUACAGAUCUAUGUGGCAAAUUGUCACCUACCAUAGAGAGGCUUGCAUUACUGAAUGAGGUAAAGUCUAAUCGAUUUACGAGAAUUUAAGAUUAUUUAUGUGUUGAAUGGGAACGGUGGUGGUGACCCAACUUGUCUAUCGCAGGGAAAAGUAGGACAUAACCUGAAGGUGUUCCAGAGACUGGCAACGACUGUAAAAGAAAUGGCCAUCCAAAAGUGUUUAUGAUAAUAAGCUUCUCAAGAAAUGUAUUUUUUGUGGUUGAACAAUUUUUGUGUGUGAAAUGUCCAAAUCUGAAAUUGUAGUGCGGGUCUGUAUAACUGAGGUACUUCAAUCACAAAAUAGUAAGGUGUUAUCCAAUAUCCAUAUGAAUUCAGAUAAUACUUUCUCUGAGGUGAUUGGGAAAAACUUUAAAAGCUCCAACUUUAUUUUAAAGUCUUGAAAGCCAAAAACUUUUACCAUUCAGAGUUUUUUUUCUUGUUUUUUUUCACCACAUUCUAACUGCCCACGUCUUCUCUUUUUACUCUUUGUACGUCUAUUCUUUUAAAAGUCAUGUAAGUGUUACUUGAUAUGUUUUAAUCUCAUUAUAAACAAAUCGUCUUUGCUCAAAUUAAAUGAAUUAUACAGCAUUCAAACAUAAAGUCUAAGGGUAUAAAGCAGAAGAAUGAAUGAAUAAAAGCAAAGCAUUUUUUACAACUAGCUAAUCUAAUAAGAUUUGAACAAUUAGCAAGUUCUAUUUGUUAUCAUCUUCUUGGUGUUUUGCCUGUAGAUGAUAUUAAAGUUUCUGAUGUCACCUAAUGUUGGAAUUUUCCCAAUUUGCUCCUUACGUAACCACGAGUUGUGAGUGUCCAAGAGAUGGAUAAGGAGAUAACGGAGGCACAGAAAAUAUUCUCAUCUCUUUACUGUCUUGUCCGUCCCAAAACCCCAUCCAACUUGACGGUGUUAACGGGCAAACCUCAGCCUGAGCCUGAAUUUCUGCCUCUUCCCUCUUCACAGCUUUAUGGCUACACAGGUUACUUCCAUGAAUUUCAUCCUCCGUUACUUGUCUCUUCCUCUUUGCUUUUAAAGACACAGUAGUCUUGUUGUUAUUGUUGUCGUCUCCUAAGUCCUCGUGCUUUCCUGCUUCGAGUGGAAAGUUAAGAAUGGCUUUGCUUCCUCGUAGUUUAAAAGCAGCCUUGUCGUAACCUCUUGCAGCUUCCAUGGCUGUGUCAAAAGUGCCUAGCCAGACACGAACACCUUUCUUGUUUGGGUCUCUGAUCUCAGCCGCAUACUUACCCCACGGUCUUCUCCUGACGCCUCUGUAGUGCCUUUGAUCAUCAACCUCUUGAACCACUGGUGCAGUUGUAGGAACUGCUAUAGUGGCAAGAGGUGGCUUGCGUUGGCUUAGAGUUGAGGUGGUGCAGUGGUGGAUGGUGGAGACAAAGGUGUCUAAGGAAGGGAAAUCGGUAAGAAGGUGUUGGGUUAUGAGAUCUAAAGCUGAUUGGUCUUGUUCUUGUUGUUGUUGAUCUGAAGAAGCCAUAGAUGAAAGGUAUUGGAGUCUUUUUUAGUAUUUGAUUAUGGAUUUUGGGUUUUCAGAGUAGCGGGAGGUUAUAUAUAAAAGUGGGUGAGAGGUUUCGUAGUUAGCUUCUCUGGUUGGAAAGAGGAAGGAUCCUGUUUUCAAUAUUUUUGACUUGGAGUGUUGCAAGUGGACUCUCUAAAUUGUUAUUUUAAGAUAAGAAGGAUUUCUUUUUGUUGUGAGGGGGCCAUAUUCACAAGCUAGUGUCUAUUUCCAGGCUUCUUCAUAUAUACAAAUUAAAAAUUGUUUUUAUUAGAGAAAUUUGAAAGAAACAUUGACAAUUUUUUGCUUUUAUGUGUAAAGUUUAGUUAUAUUUUGGAAAGGUGCACGCAUUUAUGUCCACUUGCCUGUUUUAGACAAUAUUGCCGCCUUGGAUUCUCUCGCUUGGGCACACUAUUUGAAACUUAUAUCUUUUGUUUAAUUGUUUGAAACUAAUUUAAAUUUGGUUUAGUUGAUUUUUGUUUCUUUCACGGCUAAGCAAUGAAGUGUAGAGUUAUUAUAUAUAGCGACUUGCCAAUUGGACAAUGAAAGUUUGAAAUUUCUGCGUGCACGUUUUUGUCCAAUAAAUUAGAAGAUGUCCAAAUAAAUUCAUGUUCAUGGUCAAGAUUUGAAAAUUCCUUCUUUAGUGUUUGAUAAGGAUUAGAUUAUGAAGAUAAAGACCAAGAUAAUACGUUAACAAAACACAGAUACUACAUUAAUUACAUUACAUAAUGUUCUUAAACCACGAUAUAUCCGCCGACAGACAAAGAAAUUGAAUUUCGGACUUUCAGGCGUAUAGUAUUGCUCCUUUGAGGCAACGAGCUACUAUUCUCUGUGGGCUAAUUAAGUUGGUUUGGCCUAAUAGAUAUUGAUUCCAACUUCCUUUUCUUUGCUUCUAGAGUGGGGAAUGGGAUCAAGACCAUAACAUCACGACCGAUCAAUAAUAACGUAUUAACGUGUAUAUAUAUAUCACGUGACUUAUGUCCCGGUCCAUUUGUUUCCGAUUGCAAAAACAAAACGGCCAAACGUACGUGUCGCAAAACAGACCCCUCUCUGAUCUCAUUAACACAUGCAACGGCUGCAUGAAGACACUUUGAACACGUGACACGGCUCAAGCGAGCCCCACCAGCUCUCCUCUCCUUCAUAAAUCAUCAUUGCUUACUCCAAAAUACAUCACUACCUAUUCUCUGCUAAUUUCUACCAUUUGUGUUAGAGGGAUUAUAAUAAAAAAGAAUCAAUGGCGGACCAAACAAGAACCCAUCUCGAGAUGAUAAGCCGAGACAGUACCCAAGAGUCCCAUCCGAAGGAGAGGCAGAUGGUGAAGGCAGCAACCGCUGUCACAGCCGGUGGAUCCCUCCUUGUCCUUUCCGGCUUAACGCUCGCCGGAACAGUGAUCGCACUCACGGUAGCCACUCCUCUCCUCGUCAUCUUCAGCCCCGUCUUGGUUCCAGCAGUGAUCACCGUCGCUCUCAUCAUCACCGGAUUUCUUGCAUCUGGUGGCUUUGGAAUAGCCGCCAUUACCGCCUUCUCUUGGGUCUACAGGUAAUUUAUGAACACAAACAAAACGUGACCUACAGGUUUCAAACCUAGCUUGCAAUGCACGUUACAGUUUAUAUUAAGAGUUAGUUUGAAUAUUGGUGAAUAUAUAUAUUUAGGCACUUGACGGGAUCUGGAUCGGAGAAGAUAGAGAAUGCUCGGAUGAAGGUGGGGAGCAGAGUGCAGGAUACCAAGUAUGGGCAGCACAACAUUGGAGUCCAACACCAACAAGCUUCUUAAAAUUCAAAGGCUAAAAUCGAUUUCCCACAUUAAAUUGUCAUCCAUCGUUUGAUCUCUCUUCUCAUUGUUUUUCCUCAACGUUUGUGUUGUCAUAAUGUAUGAUAAUAACAUGCAAUGUAUGAUGUAAUCUUAAUUUCCUUCUUCUUUUCUUUGUUGUUGGUUUGCGAGUAAUGUUUUGAUCCUUCUAUUCUAUGUGAGCGGAAAUCUUCAUA